rnacentral:lncRNA from 1 species
CCGCGCCCGAGGCUCCAGCUCCCUGAUCACGGCUAUGUAGUCGUCGAUGCGGCUGUAGGGGUUGCGGGAGAGGAAGUCCUGUAGGUAGCGCCACUUGUGCUGCUCCAUGGUGCGAAGGACGGGGCGGUCACCGCGACCAUACGGGCCGACGGAGACCAUUCGGGGCUCGUACAGGUGUUGGUUGCGUUGACGAAUGUAGGCAGGGACACGGAAGAUGGCGAAGCUCUCCGGCGCCAUCGGGUGGCGGUUUAAGGCGUUGAUUUUCAACCUGACGGAGCUCAGCACGGCAUCGCUGAUGUCUAUGGCGACCGCCUCUCCCUGAUCCUGUGCCAUCUCCGGCAGCUAAUUCUGCUGAGAACAAUUAUUAAGGUCCCCAAAUCUCUAAUACUCCGACGAGAUCCGGUUUAGACUUUUUUUAUGGGCCGUACAGUCAACUAUCGGUCUCCGGAUGUAACCUCCCUCCUAUAUUAGCUGUUCCAGAUCCAGUCGGCACAAGGGCAUUAUAAUGAGUCCGGCUACUGAACUAUCGGUAGCACGGAGGGCUCCGUGCUACUAAGUUAUUUUUAAUAAUACGGCUUCCAAAUCGACGAUCGGCUUUAUUAGACUUGAUCUACACUGUUAAACGUAUUUGGAAACUAAAUUUCAUAAUUUUUCGAUACUAUAUACCUAUCAAACAAAUAGUCUAAAAUUGAAUGAAUGAAAGUAAAAAUCUCAUAAAAAAUGAUGAUAAAAAGUUUAAAUUCAAGAUCAGAUAUACUGGUCUUACUCUAAAUAGUGAAAAGAAUUUUCUAUAAAAUUUUCAUCGGAUUUAAAUUGUUUUACACUGUUAAACUCUCAAACACACCACAUCGGCCAUUAAAAUUGUCAAUUUUGAGAUCUUUUGAUCACUAAUCAAAUGGUAUUGAAAAAAUCUGAAAUUUAGUUUCCAAAUACUUUCAAUAGUGUAGAUUAAGUCUAACGAGCCGAUCGUCGAUUUAAAAAUCGCAUCAUCGAAAACAAUUUGAUAGCACGGAACCCUCUGUGCUACCGAUAGUAUAGUAGCCGGACUCCAUUAUAAUAAAGUUCUUCCAUGGAGAUUGGAGACAUUUUUUAAAGGGGCAAUUUCACUAUGCCUUUCUAAAGUUCUGAAAUUUCAUAGAUGUCCUCUCAAUUUUUAAAAUUUCAUGAAUAAUCUUUCAAAUGUCAAAUAUGUUUCAUCAAUGUGGAUGCACUUAAGGACAAGUUUCACGAUAUACAAUAACAACUAAACGAAGCGGGUAGCGUACUAUCUAUCUCUCUCUCAAAAAAAAAAAAAAAAAAAAAAAAAAAAAAAAAAAAAAAAAAAAAAAACUAACCACCAAAGAGCUCCAAGUCAAGGACAAAUUUCAUGAAGUUCAUAGAAAAGGAUUCAACAGAGAACUGCAUGUCUAACUUUAAGUUUUACAAAGCAGGUGAAAAGAGGUUCGACGAAGAACUCUUUGAUGGGAGAAAACUUGAUUUCCCUAGUUCUUGCGCACAAAGAUUAACUUACCAAGACCCUACAAACAAAAAAUUCAAACUAUUCAUGUGUUCCUAUGUCUUUGUGUACAGCAAGCAGAUGCUAGUAAACAGAAUCACAAGUAGCAUCUUUAUAAAAAUAGCUUUAACUUAGAAUCCUUCACUAGACUAUACCAAGCUACUGGUUACUGCAUUUGAGAUAGUUAUCUUUAAGUUUGAAGUUGAGAACAUACCAAGUAGGUAUCGUUGAGUUUGGUGCUUCCUUAUACAGUAUUAUUUGCAAGUGCAACCUGAAUGAAAUUUGAUUUUAGAACUAUAUAUUUUCUGUGUGAAAGAAAAUUAAAUCAUUUACAUUAUAGCCCGAGUUACUUAAUGAUAUUAUUGGGAAACUUAGUAUCUAGCAUUUUCAGCCACCGUGGUUGGAGUGCUGCCAUAUGAGAUUUUAGCUAUCAUCUAGUCGCUGUUUCCCUGAGUUUGUUUGCGUUUAGUUUUUGUUGUAUGAAAAAAAUGGCAUGCUAAUCGCUCCAUUCAUCGUAAUGUUGUAUAUGCUGACAAACAAUUUUACAGACUUUUUUGCAAACUCAAAAUGGAUCGUUCUCGCCUGGAGUCAACUAUCGUUUUCGAUCUUUACUAAAUAAUCCAAGGACCAAUUCUCACAAUCAAUGUCACAAUGUGAUUCACAUACUUCUGUCUCUGUUGCAUCAUUUAUUAUUAUAGUAAUCAACACCUCAUCAUGCCAUCGUCAUCCUCGUAUGUAAUCCGCACCUAAAAAAAUUGAUAAAAACGUCUGCUUACAAGAACCUCCUUGUUGUUGCUCCUUUUGCCGACAGCGACCGAGACAGCUAACAAUAAUAGGAUGGUUACAUAUUUACAUCUGGAAAAAGAUUACUGGUUCCUUGGCGUAUCUAAGACCACUCAAUAGUAUCCUUAAUUGUCAUUAUAUUAUUAGGAAUAGGAUUAUAUUCCUAUAUAUAAUAUACGGGAGUUUUUAGAAAACCCUAACCGUCAUCUAUCCUUUCUUCUCUCUUCCAUCUUCUAGCAAGAAAGACGUCCUUUUGCAAGGGAGCUAGCACCCCGGUGAGGACAUCGAUCAAAUCAAGAACCUCGUGUGGAUACCUAUAGAGGCCGGACGCUUGUGCGACUUCAAGAUAACCGAAUUCCACGAUCAUCAAAUUGAGGUGAAGAUUUAUCCGCGAAUAAGGUAAAGAUUCGAUCUUACUUUUCUCCUUUAAUCUUAAAGAACAUGAGGGAUCCUAAUUGCGUGGUUUUUAGGAUUUGAUCUCGAGAGUUUUCAAAAAUCAAAUUUGUUUGAUUUCUUUUUUACGCGUAAAAAAGAUACCUUUGUACUAUUUUAAUAAUUGUGAGUUUGAAAGGUCGAUCACCAAUUUCUGUACUAUUUUAAUAAAUGUGCAUGUGUUGUAAUAAUGAUCAGGCCCUUUUUGGUCUGUGGAGAAAAAAUCAGAACAGUCUGGAUUUUUUUUUAUUUUAGAUUUGAGCACGUUUUGCACAUUUCACCUAUCUAUCCACCUUAUCAUCUAUUAUCUCCUCAUCUUAUUUGUAGUGGUCAACAUCACAUGGUGCCACCGUCAUCCUCAUAAGUAAUUGGCAUAUAAAAAAAUUUGAUAAAAACAUACAAAACUUAUAUCAUUUUAAAUCAAUUAUUUUGAUUUUUAAAAAUUUUAAUUUUAGUAUUUGUUAAAAUCAAAAUAUUGUUGAUCGACUCGAAACAAAUUAACAAUAUUAAAUAGCAAAAUUAAAAUUUUGAGGAUGGAAUAAACAAUUCAAAACAGGGGCAGAGCCAUUGAAGGGCUCACAGUGGCCAUGGCCUCCUCUAAUUUUUUAAAAUUAUAUAAAAGCCCUUUAUAAUAAAAAUUAAAAUAUUAUAAAUUUUAAUUUUAGGAGGCCAAAUUAAUUUUUCUUAAUAAAAUUUGUCUCAAUUUUUUUUUUCGAAUUUCUUAGUCCUUUCCCAUCAACUCUUACAGUCUUGUUCCUCUUUGGGUAUACUGUCGUUAUUGUUGCUAGUAAUAACUGGAUUAGUGAAUUCAACAAAUUUUUUUCUUACUAUCCGAGGUCGAAUUCCUAUCAUAUCUAAAUCUUGGCCCCCCCCCCACCCCCGAAUUUUAAUUUCUGACUUCGUCCCUGAUUCAAAAUAUUUUAUAAUUUAGAAAAAUUAUAUAAGUUUUUGUCUAGAAAAAAAUAAUGAAAAAUGUCUCCUUAGAAGAACCUUGUUGAUCCUUUUCAAAAGCAAUUGGGACAACUAAUAACAUAGGAUGGUUACAUCCCGAAAAAGAUGUAUCGCUGACUCAUAAUAUAGGAUGGUCACAUUCUUAAAAAGAUAGCUGACUCCUCGGCACACCGAAGACCUCUGAGCAAGUCCGUUUGACAAAUUAAUUUGUUUCUAGAAAUACUUAAAAGGCUAGUUAGAGAAAACACUUUUAUAAAUAGUUAUUUUUUUACUUUUUCUAUUUAACUUUCAAAAGGCUGUAUUUUAUCAUCCCAACAUUUCAAGUUAUUACAUUUAGCCUCCUUACGUCAGGAUUACAUCACUAUUCCGUCUAUUUCUUAUAAUUUAUAUCGAAAAUAACCUUUAAAUAAUAAAAAUAUAUUAAAAAUUUUUUUUAUAGAAGAAAUAAGAAUAAUUAGGUUAUUCGUCAUUUCAUUUUUGAAUGAUUUAUCAUUCCAUUUUUUAUACCAAAAUAAUUUAAUUCUAUUUUUUAUUCUUAUUUCAAUAAUAAAUCAAACAUGCCUUCAGUUCCUCCCUCCGCUUAAUUAGAACCGGAAAAGGUGAGGCCCUAAGAUCCGGUUUAAACUACGAUGUGCCAGGAGUCAACAAGCAUUUUCGGUCUUUAUUAAACAAUCCAAGGAGCAAUUCUCACAAUCAAUGUCACAAUGUGAGCUUGAAAGGUAGGUAUCAGGCGUUAAAGAGAUACCUAUAUUUGUACUAAUUAUUAAUUGUGAGUGUGAAAGGUGGGCCAUCUACAUCUAUACUAUAUUAAUAAUUAUGAGUUGUAACGUCAGUCAGCCUUUUUUUUGUUCGAUCGGGAAGAAAUCCUAAAAGAUUUUUUUUUUCCUAAGAUUUGAGAGCGCUGUGCAUAUUUCACCCUUCUAUCCAUUCUAUCGUCUAUUAUCUCCUAAUCUUAUAUGUUAUGUCAAUUUUAAAAAUUAAGUAUUGUAAAAUUUUUUACCGUCACGCACACAGAAUACGACACAUGAACACUUUUAUAGAUAAAUAGUUUAAAAAAUUAAAAUAAGGUCGUGUCCAUUUAUCAAUAUUCAGUCUACUUACUCCAAAACAUAUUCACUAAAUAGCUUGCAACAUUUUUUUUUAAAAAAUAUGUAAUUGUGAACCAUGCAAGAAUUACUUGUCGAGCUAGAAAAUUUUUUCUUGCGAUAUUUGUUUGGGGGGGGGGGGGNCAGGCCCCUAAAUAUGUUUACAAAAUUAAAAGAAAAAUCCCAUCGAUUAAUUCUAGUACAUCUUAACUUUGAGAGCUUAUGUUUUGUAUCUUGCACUGUGGAAAUUAAAGAAUGAAAUUUUUUGAGUCAACUUAAAAUCGUUGUUCUAAGUGUACAUAAGUAAUUCUGAAUUCAUCCAAUUAAGUAAACCCCCUUGGAGAGAGAAAUUAUUGUGUACACCCGGGGUACUCGUACAUCUCAUGCACUGCACUUUAUAUUUGACAGUUAUUAGUAAUUUAAAAUUAAAAUAAAAUCUGAAACUUUAAAAGUAUCUACUUUAUCUCCGGUUGACUAAAAUGCUUUUGUUCAUUUGAAAAAAAAUCCUUCAAAUAUUCCUUGCCCUCUAGAGUUCACUAAUACGAUUGGAGUUUUAGAUGGCUCUUUAGAAAUUAAAAGAUAAAUUUAAAAUUUUUGAUUAACAGUAAAAAGUAUAUUAGCAAAGGUCCCUUUAAAAUAUAUUUGCUAUUAUUAAACAAUCCCUUUAAAAUUUGAUUGGUUGAGAGAUACCACAUCAGUAAUAUAACUGUUGCAUUCUAAACUUUUUCCUUAUAGACCUAAUUUGAUAAUAUAGUGGUUAAAAAUAAUAUUUUUAUACUAUAAAAAAUUCUAAAAAAUUCAAAAGCACUCGUAAGUUUUUUUUUUUUUCUUUUUUAUAUUAUAAUAUUGCGGUUGCAAGGGCCACCCGAGAAGUAAGUAGCAACGUUAAAAAACUAAUGGUAAUAUCGUUUUAAAGGGACCAAUUUGUAUUAGCAAAAUGGUCAUUUCAUGUGUUUACUAUUAAAAAUCUAACGAUACAUCAAACGGUGGGAACAAAUAUAAAUGUAUUAGAACUCUGGGAGGAAUAUGCUUACAAAUCAUAAGCUUUUUUUUUAAAAAAAUAAAUCGAAUCAUUUAUCUUGUUAAAACCGGUGAAACGAAAAAUAGAUUCAGAAAACUACUUAAUGCAGAAAAAAAGAAAGAAAAAGUAAAUCGAGAUUUACGUAGUUCGACAACCGGUCUGGAUGAAGACGGAAUAAAUAUUUUUUUUAUUUUUUUGAGAGAUAGGUAGCACGCUACUUGUUUCGUUUAUUUCAUUUAGAAAUAAACUUAGUUGGAAAUGUGAAUUACCAACCACCAAAUCCUUUGCCACCUGCUCUAGGGACGGAACAAAUACUUUUAUUAAUGUGAAAGGUGGAGUACAAAGAUAGUCUCUCAAAAGACCAAAACUCUAAUUAAAUCGGAAAAACCGCAAUCCCCGUUCAUACAAGCAACUUCAAAAUCGCUCAGCUCUCUCCAAUGCAUGCCAUGCCGGUGCUAUCCGAAUCUGAUAUAGAGGAAGAAGUCAUUAAUUGUUGCUGAGCCUGUCACAAUGAAACUUUGUAGAAUAUAUAACAUGCCAGACAAUUUGGCCUUCAUCACUGCAAGAUUUUCUUUAACGACCUCAAUCAAUCAUCAGCCUAAGAAUAUCUAAAGCCUUUAGUAUCAAAUGUAAUCAAUUAGAUUAGACUUUUUUUUCGCAUAUCCGGAACAUGCCGAACCUCAGAUAUAGUCUUCACAAUUCCAUCGAACAUUCGUACCCGAACAAUGCCAAUGCCAACAAUUGCAUACUUAAUAUUGACUUUCUAUUAAUACAACUUUCACCUUUAAUAAGCUUGUACGCCGACAAUCAGUCUCUAUGUGUAUAGAUAUAGUAGAAACAUACAGAGUCCAUAAGCGAGUCAUCAUGUUUGCGUGUCUUAUCCAUAACUAUGAAGACUAUUAAAAUCAUAACGGCGAAAAAUAGAUCCAGAAAAUAGUUUAAUGCAGGAAACGAAAAGAUAAGGAAAGAACAUACCGAUAUUUACGUGAUUCGGCCAACGACCUACGUCCACGGGUGAAGACGGAGCAAAUACUUUAUUAAUGUCGAAAAUGCGGAGUACAAAAAAAAUCUCUCGAAAGACCAAAGCUUAAUUAGAACCGAAAACGCCGCAACAAGCAACUCCGGAAAGAAGGACUUCUCUUAACCCGUACGGACUCCAAAGUGGCGUUAAUUAGAGUCGCCGUGGAUCCUCACCGUACGGAACAUGAAUAGCUUGGUUUAAUUAAUUAGACUUGGGUCUAAUUAACAUUGCGGCAUCAUUAGACCUUGCCUCUAAUUAAAGCACGGACCACACCACCAACAACUGAAUUAAUUUUGCGUGGCUCUUAAUUGGGUCGCGGCAUUAUUAGCUUGGCCGUAGCAUGUAUAUAUAAUACAUGUCUCCUAACUAGAGUCUAAUUCUAAUUAGAUUAGAAUUACACUCCUAAUUAUAAUCCAUAUAUGCCAAAUUAAAUCUAAAAUAUAUCCAAUUCCAAAUAGAUUAGGAUUUAACUCCAAUUUAGAUAACUACAAAUCUAAACUAAAUAUAACAAUCUUCAUCUUGGUUUAAUUUGUAGUUUAGCCGUCGCUAUGUCGAGAUCGCCACAAAACUCCACCUUAAAUUUAAUUCGCCUCAAUGCUCCUUAACGCUCCGUGCUCCGUCUUCUCCAAACGCCCAAUAGGACCUCAAAUGCUGCUAAUUGCCACCAAGUCCAAACAAUGUUUGAACUUGGCAAUAGUAAGGGACUUAAUAAGCAUAUCCGCCGAAUUGUCCUCGGUAUCAAUUUUCUUAACAGUUACCGUGCGUUUCCCAAUCAAAUUCCGAACAAAGUGAAACUUUACAUCGAUGUGUUUUGUCCUCUUAUGAAACAUCUGAUCUUUCGACAAAUGAAUAGCACUUUGACUGUUUGAAUAAACAACCGUCGGAUCCCAACAAGAAGUAAGCUCUCCAAAUAAGCCUCUUAGCCACAUAGCUUCCUUCACACUCUCUGUCAUAGCAAUAUAUUCCGCCUCCGUCGUAGACAAAGCGAUAAUAGGUUGUAGUGAAGCUUUCCAACUAACUGCACAUCUGCCAAUAGAGAAUACAUAACCUGAAAGUGAUCUCCUCCCAUCCAAAUGACCUGCAAAAUUCGAAUGAACAUAUCCAACCACACCAUCCUUACAUCUCCCAAACUCCAAACAAGUGUUAGUGGUAUCUCGUAAGUAUCUCAAAAUCCACUUAACAGCCUGCCAAUUAAUGAGCCUUACCGGGAUUGGUCAUAUAUCUGCUAACCAUGCUCACUGCGUUGGAGAUGUCCGGCCGUGUGUAAACCAUGGCGUACAUGAUACUCCCAACAGCACUAGAAUAGGGAACAUGUGACAUAUACUCUCGCUCAUCAUCGGACUAUGGUGAUAACUCGGCGGAAAGUCUGAAAUGCGCCGCAAAAGGAGUGCUCACUGGUUUUGCGUCUCUCAUGUCGAAACGCUUUAAAAUCUUCUCUAUAUAUUUUUUCUAUGUCAAAUGCAGUAGUCCUGACUUGUUGUCCCUCUUAAUUUUCAUACAAAGAAUUUUCUUAGCAGCACCUAGAUCUUUCAUCUCAAACUCACUCUUAAGUAAAGCCUUUAAUUUAUUUAUCUCAACUAUAUCGCUGGAAGCAAUUAACAUAUCAUCGACAUAGAGUAACAAAUAUAUGAAAGAUCCUUUAUCAAGCUUUCUGAAAUACACGCAACUAUCACGCUUGCUUCUGGAGUACCCGUGACCUGUCAUGAAGGAGUCGAACCGCUUAUACCAUUGUCGAGGAGACUGCUUUAAGCCAUAAAGCGAUUUCUUUAACAGGCAAAUAUGGUCCUCCUUCCCUUCAACAAUGAAUCUCUCCGCCUGUUUCAUAUAAAUUUGCUCCUCAAGUUCUCCAUUCAGAAAAGCUAUCUUAACAUCAAGCUGCUCAAGAUACAGGUCAUUCAUGGCUACUAACGAUAAAAGAACACGAAUAGAAGUAUGCUUCACGACGGGUGAGAAAAUAUCAUUAAAGUCAACACCUUCUACCUGACUGUAGCCCUUAGCAACUAAACAAGCUUUAUACCUUGUAUUUUUCACGCCGGGGAUUCCGUUCUUUUUCUUGAAGACCUGCUUACAACAGACAAUUUUCUUGCCUGUAGGCGGUUUUACCAACUCCCAUGUGCUAUUCUUAUGGAGAGACUCCAUCUCCUCAUUCAUCGUCACCAGCCACUUUGCAGAACUGGCACCCGAAAUAGCUUGAUUAUAUAUGGAAGGUUCACCUUCUUCUUCUGUAUCUUGUGCCACUGAAAGAGCGUAAGCAACCAUAUCUUCAUAACCGUAUCUCUGCGGUGGUUUAAUCUGUCUCCUCGCUCUGCCUGUAGCAAUGCUCUGCCUCUCAACUUGUGGGGUUUCAGUUAUUGAGGUGUCUGUCGACUGAACUUGUUCUGACUGAGAAGAAUCCUGCGACUGAACUAUACCAUCAGUCUCUACCUCCACCUGUUUGCUCCUCCGGAGUUUUGUAAUCAAGUGCUGAAUGUGGAGAUCGAUUCACCAAAUAGCAUGCCGUAGAGAUCACCUCUGCCCAGAAACUCUUCGCUAAACCAGCAUUAGAGAGCAUACAACGAGCCCUCUCCAAAAGAGUUCUAUUCAUCCGUUCGGCCACCCCGUUCUGCUGUGGAGUAUGCCUAACGGUCUUAUGUCGAACGAUCCCUUUCUUCUUGCAAAAUUCUUCAAACUCUGACGAACAGAAUUUCAAACCGUUGUCGGUCCUUAAUCUCUUAAUUUUUUUUUUUCAGUUUGCUUCUCAAUCAUGGCCUUCCACUGCUUGAAAUAAUUGAACACCUCAUCUUUAUUUUUCAGAAAGAACGCCCACACUUUACGAGAAUAAUCGUCAAUAAAAGUCAACAUAUAUCUAGCACCACCAUGAGUAGGAGUACGAAAAGGUCCCCAAAGAUCAGAAUGGAUGUAGUCGAGAGUAUCUUUUGUUCGGUGAACUGCGGCCUUAAAGCUGACUCUCUUUUGUUUGCCAAGAACACAAUACUCGCAGAAGUCCAACUUUUCUAAACUCCGACUACCAAGUAAACCUCUCUCGCCCAACUUUAUCAUACCAUAUUCACUCAUAUGGCCCAGUCGCAUAUGCCAUAAUCUGGUGCUAUCCGAAUCUGACAUAGAGUAAGAAGUCACCGCUGCCAAACCUGUCACAGUGGAACCCUGUAGAACAUAUAACAUGUCGGACAACUUGGCCUUCAUCACUACAAGAUUCCCUUUAGCGACCUUCAUUAAUCCAUCAGCUGAAGAAUACUUAAAGCCUUUAGUAUCAAGUGUACCCAAUGAAAUCAGAUUUUUCCUCAUAUCCGGAACAUGCCGAACCUCAGAUAUAGUCCUCACUACUCCAUCGAACAUUCGUACCCGAACAGUGCCAAUUCCAAUAACUGUGCACUUAGAGUGAUUUCCUAUCAACACAUCUCUACCUUCAAUAGGCAUAUACAUCGAGAACCAUUCUCUAUGUGUACAGAUGUGAAAAGAACAUGCGGGGUCCAUAAGCCACUCAUCCUGUCUGCGUGUCUUAUCAGUAACUGUCAAGACGAUAUCAUUUUUAUCUGAUUCUCCUGCUGUAACACUUGCUUCUGCUUCAGUAUUGGUGUUUUUCUGACUUUGAUUUUUAUCACCGUUAUUCUUCCGCUGCUCUCUAUUUUUCAACUUGAAACAAUCAGCUUUUAUGUGACCCUUCUUCUUACAAUAACCACAAAUCAGAUUCCUGUACUUUGACUUUGAUCUAGAUGUACUUCUAUUAUCGGAACCCUUCUCCCGAGACCUCCCUCUAGCGACCAAACCUUAUCCUGAAGCUCCACUUGUCUCGUUGCUUAUCUGCAUGUCAAUUCUCUCUUUUGAAAGUAAAGAGGAUUUAACAUCAUCGAGAUAUAGAGUAUCUCGUCCAAACAAGAAAGUCUCACGAAAAUUUUUAUAAUAGAGCGGUAGAGAACAUGAUAAUAAAAUAGCUUCAUCUUCCUCCUCGAUUUUGACAUCUAUCGAGCGGAGAUCCAUAAUAAUAGAAUUAAAUUAAUCUAAAUGCGACUUAAUAGAGGUACCUUCCGCCAUGCGCAACAUGAAGAGACGUUACUUCAAAUAUAACUUGUUGGUGAGAGAUUUCGUCAUGUAGAGAGACUCUAAUUUAAGCCAAAAUCCUGCAGUGUUCUUUUCAUCCAAGACCUCGUGCAAUAUCUCAUCGGAUAAACAUAAUUGUAUUGCCGUAAAAGCUUUGUCAUCAAUCUCCUCCUUCUGCUCUGCCGUUAACGAAUCGGGCAACUUUUCUUUUCCCAACAGUGCCUUCUGCAAUUCUUGUUGCGUCAAUACAGUACGCAUCUUGACUUGCCAUAAUGCGAAACUGUUGGUCCUGUCAAAUUUCUGAAUCUCGAACUUCGUCGUCAUCUUAAUCCUUAAAAGGAAUAGAAAGUCUCUGAUACCAGUUUGUUAAAAUCGGAACGGCGAAAAAUAGAUCCAGAAAAUAGUUUAAUGUAGGAAAUGAAAAGAUAAGGAAAGAACACACCGAUAUUUACGUGGUUCGGCCAACGGCCUACGUCCACGGGCGAAGACGGAGCAAAUACUUUAUUAAUAUCGAAAAGGCGGAGUACAAAAAAGAUAUCUUGAAAGACCAAAGCUUAAUUAGAUCCGAAAACGCCGCAACAAUCAACUCGGAAAGAAGGACUUCUCUUAACCCGUACGGACUCCAAAGUGGCGUUAAUUAGAGUCGCCGUGGAUCCUCACCGUACGGAACAUGAAUAGCUUGGUUUAAUUAAUUAGACUUGGGUCUAAUUAACAUUGCGGCAUCAUUAGAGCUUGCCUCUAAUUAAAGCACGGACCACACCACCAACAACUGAAUUAAUUUUGCAUGGCUCUUAAUUGGGUCGCGGUGUUAUUAACUUGGCCGUAGUAUGUAUAUAUAAUACAUGUCUCCUAACUAGAGUCUAAUUCUAAUUAGAUUAGAAUUACAUUCCUAAUUAUAAUCCACAUAUGCCAAAUUAAAUCUAAAUUAUAUCCAAUCCUAAAUAGAUUAGGAUUUAACUCCAAUUUAGAUAACUACAAAUCUAAACCAAAUAUAACAAAGACAAUAUUAUUGCCAUCUAAAUUCCUCCUACCACAACACUUGCUUUUGCUCGAAUAUUAAUUCUUUUCUUAUCUUGAUUCUUUUCACUGUUAUUCUUUCGCUAAUUUUAUUUUUUAACUUAAAGCAAUUAGUUUUUAUGUGAUCUUUCUUCUUACAACCACAAAUCAGAUUUUUAUAUUUUGACUUUGAUCUAUAUGUACUUUUGUUACUAAAACCCUUCUCUCGAGACCUUCCUCUAGCGACCAAACUUUCUGCUGAAGCACCACCUGUCUCGUGCUUAUCUGCAUAUCGAGACAUGGAGUAUCUCGUCCAAAUAAGAAGUUAUCACGAAAAUUUUUAUAAGAGGGGGAUAAAGAACAUAAUAAUAAAAGAGUUUCAUCCUCUUCCUUUAUUUUGGCACUUGUCGAGCGAAGAUUCAUAACAAUAAAAUUAAAUUCAUCUAAAUGCAACUUAAUAGAUGUAUCUUUUAUCAUGCGUAAUAUGAAGAGACGUUACUUCAAAUAUAAUUUGUUGAUGAGAGAUUUUUUAUGUAUAAAGACUCCAAUUUAAGCCACAUUAAUCCUAUAGCGGUCUUUUCAUCCAAUACCUCGUGCAAUACCUUAUUGGAUAAAUAUAAUUAUAUUGCCAUAAGAGAUUUGGCAACGAUCUCGUACUUCUGCUCCGGCGUUAAUGAAUCAGGCAUCUUUUCUUUUCCAAUAGUGUCACCUCAUUGGAUAAAUAUAAUUAUAUUAUCGCAAGAGUUUUGUCAUCAAUCUCCUCCUUCUGCUCCGAUGUUAAUGAAUCGGGCAUUUUUUCUUUUUUCAACAGUGCCUUCUGUAAUCCUUACUAUAUUAGUAUAGCACGCAUCUUGGCUUGCUAUAAUGCAAAACUGUUGGCCUGUCAAAGUUUUGAAUUUCGAACUUCAUCGUUAUCUUAAUCCUCAAGUGAAUAGAAAAAGCUCUGAUACCAGUUUAUUAAAAUCAGAACAGCGAAAAAUAAAUUUAGAAAAAUAUUUAAUGUAGAAAAAGAAAAAAAAAAAAAGAGCACAUUGAGAUUUAUAUAGUUCGAUCACCCGCCUACAUCCAUGGUCUAAGACGAAGCAAAUAAUGUGGAAGGUGGAGCACAAAAAUAUAGUCUUUAAAAAGAGCAAAAUUCUAAUUAGAUUGAAAACGCCACAAUCCCCGUCCAUACAAGCAACUUCAAAAUCGCUCGGCUCUCACCAAUGCACACCACGCCGGUGUUACCACGCAUAUACGGAUUACGGACAGAAGAAUCAUCUCUUGCGUUGCUCAAGCGCGCACAGCUAGCCUCAAUUAUGCUUGCCCCUUUUAAUUAGAGUUCCAGUUGAGAGGCUCUGCUGUCUCUCACCUGCAUGGCUUAAUUAGAGCUUAAUAAGGCAUCGCUUCAUGGCGUCAUUAAUUUAGCCAUAGCAUAUAUAUAUAUAUAUAUAUAUAUAUAUAUAUAGCUCAUAAACACAAGUCUAAUUCUAAUUGAAUUAGAAUUAAACUCCUAUUUAUAAUUCAUAUAGCCCAAAUUAAUUUAAAUUACAUUUUAUUCUAAUUAGGCUAGAGUUUAACUUCAAUUUAGAUAACUAUAAAUCUAAAUCCAAUGUAACAUAUAUUUUAGAGAAAUUUAUAGGGCUUUUUUUGCAAAUAGCCCCCUUACAAAUUUUUUUUUUAAAUUUGGCCUUGUCAAAAAUUUAUUUGCAAAAAUGGCCCUGGCCCCGCCACGCAAGCGCCACGUCAGCGCCACGCGGGCGGGGCUGGGCCAGAUGGUUAAGUUGAACACGGUGAACCAUUCACCGUAUUCAAUACAAAAUUUUUGUAUUGGACACGGUGAAUGAUUCACCGUGUCCAAUACAAAAUAGCUAAAAUCGAAAUAUUUGUAUUGGACACGGUGAACCAUUCACCGUGUCCAAUACAAAUAAUUAGACACGGUGAACGGUUCACCGUGUCUAAUACAAAUACCUCCAACUUAACCAUUGUUGGGGUAUUUGUAUUGGACACGGUGAACCAUUCACCGUGUCCAAUACAAAAAUCUUGUAUUCAACACGGUGAAUGGUUCACCGUGUUCAACUUAAACAUCUGGGCCCGACCUGCCCGCAUGGCGCUGACGUGGCGCUGGCGUGGCAGGGGCAGAGCCAUUUUUGCAAAUAAUUUUUGGACGGGGUUAGUUUUGCAAAUAAAAUUUGUCAGGGGACUAUUUGCAAAAAAAGCCCAAAUUUAUCUGUCACUUAAUAUCUUUAUCCCAAGCUGUACGAAAUUAACGCUUUUAUUACCUUACAAAUUAAGAACACUUAUACAAUAUUACCUCGAUCACAUACAACAAUUAUUUUAUAGUAGACCCGCACACACUCAUGCCCACAUUAUUUUAUGAUAGACCGGCACACACACAUACACACCUGAAGUUGCAAGUGACUGGCACACCAACCCUCCACUAAAUCUCUCCAUACUCUGAACUCUCUAUAUAUGCUACUAUUGCUUAACACUGCGGGUUAGUGUGAGGACCUCACACCAAUUUGUAGGCAUCCAGUGUCUGCUCGGAGUGACUUAAGCUGAAUUGGACACAACUAAUUCCCAGGAUGAUAGUAAGGGUAGAUAGUGUAGACAGUUUGGAGGAUGGUGAGAAUAAGAAGGACAGCUGCUGCGAACAAGGAAAGGAUGGCCCAUGGAUUGCUGAAAUAGUCCCUCACCAGCUUCGCCCUCCACGAGGGCCAAGGCGAACUGCAGUACUUCCUCACGCCCCGGAACAGUUCGACGAGGUAGUGGUUCUCGGGAUCCAGGGUGGCGCAGUCGGCGAGCUGGUUGAAGAAGGCCGCCAGGUCCUCGUCGCUCGCCAGAUUGUUCUCCAGGAUUCCGAGCUUGUGGAGUAUCGCCACAUCUUCCCGCGUGUUGAUGAGGCAGUCCAUGAACACCGCGUAGCUCGUCAUGUAAGCCUCCUUCGGCUUGCACCUGCUGCACUGCUCGAAGGCCACGAGGUUCGAGAACCGAGGUAGGGUGGAGGGCUCCACAGAAAGGAAAGGGAUCUCGAGCACGCCAUUGUGAAAUGCUACAUCUAGGAAGGCACUAAGACGUCUCUGAUUCUGAUUCUGAUUAUGAUUCUGAUUCUCCUCCUCCUCCUUCUUCUUCUCCUUCUUCUUCUCCUCCUCCUUCUUCUUCUCGUUCUUCUUCUCGUUCUUCUUCGUCUUCUUCUUAAUUCUCACUCCGGCCUCCACGAGCUCUGUAGCGGAUGGAAUCGUCCUCGGAAAUCUUUUCUUAGCCGGCUCUUGUGACCUGCAAUUCUUCAAUCGGAUACAAGAGAGCAGCAAGGUGAUACAAGAGGGGAGCAAGGCGAAGAUCCUACACGGCCAUAACCAUUUGAGAAUAGUACCGCCGAUGGUCCUGCCCGUCGGGUUAGUUUGUGGUUUCGUGACAUAGCAGUGGUAGUAGAGAUGCAACAAGUGACCAAAAUCUUUGGCUUCGCGGGGCACACGAAGGCGGCGGUCGUGAUUGCCUUGCACUUCCUCCUCUGUGCUCUCUAUAUCUUCCUCGGGGCUCUCGAGGUUUAUGCUCUCGAGGAACUUUACAAGAAGCUCCAUCAGAGUUGAAGGUAUCUCGCUGUCCAAGGUGGGCGUGACGAGUUCGAACAACUCGUCGAGCACGAAGAGGGGGAUUUGGUUCUCGAGCAAGAGCAAAUCGUCGCGAAUGAGCGGCAAGCUCCAAUCCGCAGCGAACAAGCCGUCCUUGUUCCCUUGGUACCACUUGAUGAGGAACUCUAGGAUGAAGCACCCGUCGAGAAGCAGGAUCUCCACGAACUUCUUGGCGUUGAGCUUGACAGGUUCGAAGUAGCACCGCCGCGCCUUUGGCUCCAACUCCCUGAUCUUGGCUUUGUAGUAAUUGUUGCGGCUGUCGCCGCUGCGAGAGCGGAAUGACUGGAGGUAACGUUGUUUAAGCCACUCCGUCUCCCGAAGGGAGGGCUCGUCACGGCGACCGUAGGGGCCGAUGGCGACCAUUCGGGGCUCGUACAGCUCCUUGUUGCGCUCCCGGAUGAGGGCCGGGACGCGGAAGAACGUGAACUUCUUAUCCGCAGCCGUCAGCUCAUCGCUUGAGGGGCGUUGUAUAUGCCUGGCGAGUACCAGGGACUGGGGAAUAUCUAUUCUCGCUUCUUCCAAUCCUUCCAUCGUCAACUUAUUGCAGAGUUUCUCAAACGCUCACGAAUUAAUUGGUGCACAAAAAAUAGGUGGGAAGAGUUUUCCUCCCUCGGCUUAUUUAUAGCCGCAGACGCAGAAGGGCUCCCUGGAUUGGGACAGAAAUUAUUUGGAGACUUGGAUUUUUUGUUUUUGUUUUUUUUUUUUUUUUUUAGAAAUAGAUAGUAAACUAUCUGCUUCAUUUAUUAAGUAAAAUGAAUUGAGCGUACAGAGAUGAAAGCAGCUUAGGCCUUCCGGAGACUUGAAAUUCAAAGUGUAUAUUUGAGCCCGUCGAAUAUAUCGCGAUUUGGGCGUUAGAUUUCACAUCUCGAGCAAAAAUUUAAUAUAUAUUUAAAAAUCACAAAAAAAUAAAAAAAUUUAAAUAGUUUUUUAGAUAAAUUUUUAGUUUCAUAACUUAGUAUCGAAUUAAUUUUCAAACUCUUAAUUUUAAAAUUUUUAAAAUUCAUUAAUUAUUUUAUGUUAGAUAAAUUUAUUUAAUUUUUAAUGCUAAUCUUUUUCUUUUCUUUUUUUUUGAGAAAAAGGUGAUAUAUUAUCCGUUUCGUUUAUUUUUUUGAAAAGAAACUCGUACCGAAUUAUGAAGCAAUUAGGUUUCAAAUUUAGAAUUUUAGUUACUAACCACCAAAUCUGCUGUCACUUACACUAAAGACGGACAGUUAUUGGUGGAUUUACAUAAAAAUUAUUUUUUAUCUAAAGAUCAAAAGUCUGCAUAAUUAUUUGUCAUUAAGUUUUGAAACUAAAAAUUUCAAAUUUCUUUAUAGUAAUUUUUUUAAUAGAUAUACAAUAUUUAAAUUAAUUGGUCGAAAAAAGUUUGGAUCUGCUUAGUGCUGAAAAGAGCCGGACGCCAAUGUUCAUUCUAAUAAAAUAAGGUGUUUCGAAAUAUGAAAUUACUGCACACGGGAAGAUAAAUUUUACAUUCGAAAAUUCAUAAUUUUUUUUCUUUAACCCUUUUUGACUUUUAUGCCCUGUGGUGUCUAUCUCCUUUUCUUGUGCACGUGUUAUAUAAGACCAGGGACGAAGCCAGGAUUUAAUUCUGGGGGGCCAAAAAUAUAUUAUGCAAAAUAUAUUAAUAAAACAAACUAUAUAUAAUAAAAAUUUGAAGUACACAAAUACAAAAAAAAAACUUUAAAAAUUUUACGUACCAUACAAAAAUUAGAAUAGUGCUCGGCGCUCCUUCCAGUCACGAAAUCCAUCAAUGAUUGAAUCAAUAGUAAACUUCUCGGCAAUUUCUCUUUCAAUAUACACGAUCAAAGAAUUAGUGAAAAAGUCAUCAUUCAUCUUAUUCCGGAGAUCGGUUUUGAUAAUACUCAUCGCGGAAAAUACCCGUUCAGUUGUUGCAGUUGAAACUGGAAGAAGUAAUACAAAUUUAACUAAUCUGUAGAGAAGUGGAUAUAUUUCUGACUUUCUUGUUGCCACCAACCAUUGACAUAAUUCAGAAAUAAUUGUCAAUUACUUGAAUAGUUGAACAAACAACAACUAAUAAAUCAAGAGCAUACAAUACAAUGACAUAAAAGAAAAUAUUUAGUUAUUCACGAUUGACGGUUCACUCACCGAUCAGGCGGUCACCAAAAAAUUAUUCAAAAGAAGCUGAUAGUCCAGAAGGGUGUAGGCGUGUAGCCGUGUAGUUCGAGGCGCUGAGCGGCCCGAGCCCGAGCGGGCGAGCGGCGAGGGGCGAGCACCAUCGGCGGCCAGCGUCCGGCGGUCCAGCAAGCUAGAGAGAGAUUGAAAUUUGAGAUAAGUUAGAGAAAGAGAGAGCUCUGAGCCUGUGACUCUCGGAGGCUGGGAAAUGGGAAUGGAAGUGUGGAAAUGGGAGAGAGAGAAAGAAAGUGUGGAACUGUAAGAGAGAGAGAGAGCGACGCUUUGCCAGUCGCCUUUGGGCGCCUCCUCCCACACCAGUGCGACCAAUCUGUCAAAUUCCACACUAAUUAACCACUCUCUCCUCNNNNNNNNNNNNNNNNNNNNNNNNNNNNNNNNNNNNNNNNNNNNNNNNNNNNNNNNNNNNNNNNNNNNNNNNNNNNNNNNNNNNNNNNNNNNNNNNNNNNNNNNNNNNNNNNNNNNNNNNNNNNNNNNNNNNNNNNNNNNNNNNNNNNNNNNNNNNNNNNNNNNNNNNNNNNNNNNNNNNNNNNNNNNNNNNNNNNNNNNNNNNNNNNNNNNNNNNNNNNNNNNNNNNNNNNNNNNNNNNNNNNNNNNNNNNNNNNNNNNNNNNNNNNNNNNNNNNNNNNNNNNNNNNNNNNNNNNNNNGGAUAUCUAAAAAAUGAAUAUAGAAAUGAAUAACCAAAUAUUUUAAUAGUAUUAUAUUUUAUAUUAAUAAAUUAAAUUAUAAUAUUAUUUGAUUCCUAAUAUGUGUGUGGAUAUAUGGAACAUAAAGACAACAAUAGUUAUUAUUUGUGGGAAGAUAAUAAGGAGUUUGAUAACUUUUAAUGAAAGGAUAAUAUAUCCUGAUGGAAAAAUAAGAUUGUUUUUUUGUAAUCUUCAUUUAUUUUAUUAUGAGUUUCAUAUGUAUAAAAAUUACACUUGUAUAUAUUAAAUCUUAAAUUUUAUUCAAUUACAUAUAUAUAGGUAUAUAUAAAAAUAUGAAAAUAAUGUAAAAGUUUAUUGCAUUGUUGUCAAUUCUAUUUCAUAUUUAUAUGUAUAUAUUAGUGUAUGUUAUCAUUAUUCGACUAGUAUCCGAAUAUUUAUUCGAUCCAUAUUUGAAUCUGAAAAUAUAUCUGAUUGUAUUUAAAUCUGUUUUUAGUGAAUUUUAAGGUGUGUGAUAUUUUGGUGUUUAAAAUUUAUUUUGUUGUUAUUUUUGACUCAAAUUCUAUUAAUUAUUGCACUCAAAAUCUAUAGUAUAAUUUAAUUAACUGAAAAUUGAUGUUUCACCAAUAUAAUAGUAAUUUAUGACAUUAAUUAUAAUACAACAACAUCACUGUCAUAUUCUUAAUAUGAUCAUUAUUUAACCAACUAAAUUAAAUAGUAAACUUUAUUAUGACAGUUUAAAGUAAAAAAAAAAAAAAAAAAAUACAACAGAGUAAAGUUCAACAUCUCAAAGUUUGAGGACGAGAAGCGCAAUUUAUCAGAAAAUUUUGAGUCAACUUAAAAGUCUUCAUUCUUACUUAAUUUUGAGCCGAUUUUAUUAAUUAAUUCUGAAUUCGAUCCAAUUAAUUAAACCGUCUUGGAGAGAGAAAUUAUUGUCUGCAACCAGAUUCAUAUUUCUCAUAUAAUAUGCUUUAUAUUCGACGAUUAGUUAUUUAAAAUUAAAAUAUAUUCUGAGAGAUAAGAUAAACAACAUUUGAAGGAUUGACGUGUAAAUAAUUAUAAAUUUUUCAAAUAUAUUACUUAUUAUUAAACAGUCUCGAUAGUAGGUUUUACUCAAAAGAAAAUUUGUUUGAAGGAGGAUUUCUUUUUUGAAAUCACUAAUAUAAACACAAGGAGGUUGCAUUCUCACGCUGUCAAUUUAUUUUUAAAAAAAUUAAAAUUUUAAAAUAAUUUUAAAAUUGUAGAUUUGAGGGUGUAAGAUAUAGAUCUUUUGCUAAGGAGUACAACUAAGUUUUAAACAUUUCGGACCUGUUAUUUUGGCUCAAAAAUUUUCUAAUUAUUACAACUCAUCUAGCCGUUAUGGUGCGUGCCAUCAUUUCGACCGAAUAAUUUUUUAAAUGAAGAGGAGUAAAAAAUACUACUACAUGCAGUCAGGCAGUCAGCCGAGAUGGAGUUACAUAAAAAGUGCAUUUUGGUCGUCACUAGGGGUGUAAUGUGGGCUGUGUCCGACUGGGACAGCUCACAUUAUCCGGACCAAAAUGGGUUAUGGGCGGGCUUUGCCCGGUCUGGCUUCAAAUUCAGGUUGGGCCAUACUGGGCCGAAUUAUCAAGUCUCCAGCCCAAUACAGCCCGAAAGGCACGGGCUGGGUCAGUUUUACAUCCCUCGGCUGCAACCAUUUUCAAUUUUUUUUUAACAAAUUUUAGGGAAAAUUUUAAAUACCCCAUUGGUUUUGCACUUUCUCACUUUAGUACCCUGUGGUUUAAAGUGUAUUAAGUUAGUACAUCGUGGUUUCGUACUUUCUCACUUUAAUAUCCUGUGGUUUAAAGUGUAUCAAGUUAGUACUUUGUGAUUUCGUACUUUCUCACUUUAGUAUCCUGUGGUUUAAUAUUUCGUUAAAUUAUAUACAAAAAACUUUAGAUACUCUAUCUAAGUUUAUCGAAUAUUUAUUUUAAUACUAUUUAGUUUUAACUUUGUCACUGAUUUAACGAAAAAAAUACCUCGAAGUGGUAAUAAAAAGAGAAAAAAAAAAAAUCAUAGAGUACUAACUUGAUACAAAAAUGAAACCACAGCGUACUAACUUGAUACACUUUAAAUCACAGGGUAUUAAAGUGAGAAAGUGCGAAAUCACAUGGUACUAACUUGAUACAUUUUAAACCAUAUGGUACUAAAUUGAAAAAGUACGAAACCGUAAGGAAGUUUUUUGAAGUUUUUCCAAAAUUUUAUAAAAAUUUUCUAAAUAAGGUGUGGCAAACGUAAAAGUAUUAAAUUGUAGGGGCCAAAGUGAAGCGUUUUGUUAAAAAGCUUGUACUAAUUUGCUUUCUAAAAAUCUUUGUUAUAAAAGCUUGUUAUAUUUUGCUUUGUAAUUUUUUCAUAAAAAGUUUGUACAUCCGACUUUUAUUAUAAUCUAUUUUAUAAUAAUUCUUUUUUUCUUUUUUUUUUUGAGAAAAAGGUAGCACGCUACCUGCUUCAUUCAUUCAGAUAAUAAAUUUAGCUACAAUGAAUUAAUCCCUCUUCGAGGGUAAAAUAAUUAAUUUUAGAAUAAAUAUUAAUUUGACUUCGUGUUUUAGUUUAUAUUUACUUUGUACCAUAUAGUUCAAAAACUCUCAUUGAACAACCAUAUGAUUUUAUCUUUAUUUGUAUAAAAAAAAAAAUACUAUUAAAUAAAAUAAAAAAAUAUUUUUUUGGAUUACUAUAAAAUAGAUAAAUACAACUUUUUGAACCAUGGAAUAAUAAAGUAAAAGUGAGCUAAACUAUAGAGUAAUUAAGUGUAAUUUUUUGAAUUACAGAAUACCAAAAUAAAAUUGAACUAAACUCCAGAGAGGCAAAUUAAAGUUUACUCUUUAUUUUAUGAACCAUAGAUAACCGAAAAGCUUGUAGAUCAUACUUAAUAUUUCAUGGAUUAGUCUUUUAAAAUCAAAAUCCAAUCCAAUAAAUAUAGUUUGUAUACAGAAUUAAAUAGCUUUAAAACUAAAAAUAAAAAUAUUAUUCGAUUUAUAAGAAAAUGUCGUACACAAAUAUAUUCGGGUAAACUGUGUGCUAACAAUCUCUUAUAAAGUGAAUUUAGUAUCACAUAAAUUUUUAACAUUUAAAAUAUCAAAUUUGCUGAUGGAAAAAAUUUUGAAUUUUAGAUAAGCGUGCGAGCACCNUAAACUGUGUGCUAACAAUCUCUUAUAAAGUGAAUUUAGUAUCACAUAAAUUUUUAACAUUUAAAAUAUCAAAUUAGCUCAUGGCGACAUUUGAUCUUAAAUUUGCUGAUGGAAAAAAUUUUGAAUUUUAGAUAAGCGUGCGAGCACCAAAAUCGUGAGUUAGAAUAAAAUUAUUUUAAUAUUUUGCAGUAAAAUUUAUCCCUUUUUAAUGCUAGAUUUUUAGACAAAAACAAAAAAAAGGGUUGACCUACUCAAUAGCGAAACGACCAAGUCAAACUCUUACCGAGUCAAAGGAAAUGUCAAGCUUAUAAAAAGAGUGGGUGCUACAGUGAUAUUCUAUGCAAAUCCUUCCACUUCCAUCUCUCUCCCCCCUCUUUCUCUCUCUCUCUCUCUCUCUCUCUCUCUUUAAGUUGAGAACUCUGAUUCUUGAAUCACUAUUGCUGCAUAAAAAGGUAUGAACUCUUAUUAUAAUGAUUUGUAAAUUAAGCCAUUAGUUUGUUUGCAUUCGAUUCUCAUUGUCCUAAUAGGCUAUAUAUCCUGUAUAAAGAGAGCUCGUUGUUUCUCUGAUAUUGGUAGUUUGUAAAAUGUGCUUCUAUGUAAACUUACCGACAUGGUACGCGCAUUUUUACUAAAAAUUUUGCAGGAAAGAUGCCGAAAUUGAGAUCUUUGGGUGGUCGAAUACUCUAUGGUGUGACACGGCUCGAAGCUCACAUGCUGCCUCGCACCAACGGCGACAUGGAGAUAUUCGUGCGUUCGAACAACGGCAAUUAUGCGCUUGAGGUGGAUAGCUCGAACACCAUCUGGGAUGUGUUGAUCGCCGUUCUUGGCGAUAUACGCAGUUUAGGGCGAUGGCCGAAGCCUACGCUUUGGUUCAACGGCUCAGUGUUGGAGGAAGCUUAAUCACUUUCGGACUACGGAAUCCAUGACCGAUGCGUCGUUCAACUUAAGUACAUCAUAGGGCCAAACCGCGGUCCGAAUGAGUAUGUAUAGAUGUCCCCUUUCUAAUUUUCGCUCCUCAACCUUUUUUUUCAAUAAUAAUUCACUACAAUUAUCGAAAACAUUGCAUAAAAUCAAGCAUUGUACUUACAGACGGGAGUGGUCAAGCAGAAUAUUAGGACGAGGAAAGAUUGUAAUGAUUCUUCAGCCUUCAGUUAUAUGGCUAAAAGAGUAUGACAAAGUACUUCUUGAUUUGAUGGUAGUGCACACUCGAAAUGGCGGGAAUUUUACGAGAGAUUCAUGACGCGACAUAGUUGCUAGGUUCAAUAGAGUAACAGGGUUGAAUUAUGGAAUCGAACAUUUGGAACAUCGCUUGUACUAUUACAGACAUGAAUAUCGAAUAGUGAAAGGCAUCAUGAAUCAUCCUACAUUUAGUUGGGAUCAUCAACGACAAGUAGUAAUUGCUACAGAUGCUGAAUGGAAUGAUUAUAUCAAGGUAUAGGUAUACUAUUAUAUUAUUAUCAUUAUGCCGAUAUGGAUACUUAAUUCUACUCGAUUUAAAGUAUCUUUUUUUCUCUUACGCAGGUGAAUUCAGAAGCGAAGAUCUAUCGAUGGAGAACAGUACCGUAUUUUCAUCAGCUAGAAAUCGUUUGUUCGCGAUAAAGAGGAUAUUUUAUUCAUCAUUUGUAAAAAAAGAACUUUUAUUUCGCCAAAAUACAGCUAACAAUAAUUUUACCAUUGCAACAUUUGAUAACAUCGCAAUUUGAUUGUAGUAUUGGCUAGUGCUCCUGCAGUUGUACAAAGUUUCAAUCAAAGCAAUUGCUCCAAGUUCAGCUUAAUUUUUAAGGAAUCAAAUUGUUCCUUGUUAUUUUCUAGUUCAAAUAGUUCCACUAUUUUUAGAUCAUAUAAAUCCACCAUUCAUAUCUAUUUAAAACUUCAGACAAAGAUCAAAUGUUUGUGGUCAUCAGAAGAUCAAAUGUUUUGAAAGAUGAAAUACAAGCUCAUGCAUCAAGUAACAAAGAAAAAUCUCUCAAUCCAUGCGAUCUGUUUUAUUGCAACGGCAAGCUAGGGGCCGACGAUGCCUAGUACUUAACGACACUCUUUGAGGUUCGCAGCAGUCGGUAGAGUGUGCGGUUGGGGACGAUGUAGAACACGUCGCCCGUGUUGAGCAGCGCGUCGGGGCGGAGGACCAGCCGCGGGUUCUGGAACACCCGGGGGUCGGCUAUGGAGUGCCUUGGGUUCCGCGCCAUCACCUCCGCCGCCGCCAUGGGCUUCCGGUGGACCUCCACGAACCCACCGGGGUGGACGAGCUUCAGCACGCCGCGCUCGCGCCCCGCUACGCCCAUGGUUGGAGGUGGUGGUCCACUCCCCCCCUCCCUCCAACCACCACUUGCUUAAUGUGUGUGAAACUAAGCAGUGAUGGGGGAGAGACAGGAGCGCGAAGAGCUCAAACCUACCUACUGCUUUUUAUACUCAGGAGUGGGCAAAGUAAAAACAAUAUUUGAUCACCGGAUUUUUCAUCUAGGACUUUGUUCAAAGAGUUCUACUAAGAAAUGUUUUUGGCUUAUUGAUUUUGUCCACUAUCCCUUUCUGUUAGAUUAUUGGUUUUCACGUUUCCAUAUUGCGCCACGACGUACGCUCCAAGACACCAAUGUCACCAAGAUCAUUAACUUCAUCUGCAAAGCUUGUCUUUGUUGUUGGCUUCUACUGCUUCAUACUUCACUAUCCCUACUAUCCCUACUGAUCUUGUAAUGGUUCCUAGUGAGAGGAAAACAUGGAGAGAUAGGUUUAUAACCUCUAGGCACACUUCCUUUGUUGGACACUUUUAACAUUAUACAGGUUCGAGAGAAAUCAGAAGAAAAUUCGAUAAAGCAAAAGCAGAUUUGCUAUUCUUCCAUCAGUCUAAUACGUUUUCACGACCAUUUUUAAGGCCUAAAAUGUAGCUUUUAUGAUCGUGUCAUCUCACAUCAUCACAUUCUUUAUCUGAUAUUGUUAUUGCUAUUCUGAUUAAGAAAGUCAUACAUUCAAAAUAGCUAAUCUAAACAAUCCCCAUAGUGAAGAUCAUACAGGUUCGUGGCUCAAUGUGAAAACAAAAGAGAGAAUACAAAUCUACAUAAAUUUGCAUAAUGAUAAUAAAUGAAAGAAGAACAGAAUGAGAAUCAGGGAACAGAACAAAUGAAGCUUGAAAAUGAAAACAACCUUCCUCAACAGUCAUCACAUGUGGUUAGAGUGCUGGUUAGAGUGCUAAAGGUGCCAGUGGAUAAACUAAGGCAUUUUACAAUCGAAAAGAACAACAAAACCAAUAGUUGUAGAUACCAUAAGCAUAGUUAAAACAUAGAAUGCACUACUACCAUAAGCGAACAAACUUAUCCUUUUAUUAAACAGAACAAAGAUAGGUAAGAAAUGAAAAAUAGUAGCUUCAAUUUGUAUUUUUCCUCCAGAUCUUACACCAUUACUACUGCAAUUCCAGAUACCUUAAAAAAUUCGGAACACGUAGCAUCCCACAACAUCCAAAAAAAUUAAUCUUAUUACUAACGUUAGGGCUGCAGCAACAUCACAACGGCCUUCAUCAUUGCAAACUUUCACGAGAGGGCUAUAACAAAUUUGGCUCCACAUAAUCCACGAAAAGCAUGUGAAAUAAGCAGAGUCAUACUCGACGAGAAUUCAUAUGUAAGGUAACUUUGGAUCAUUCUAGGCUCCAUACUACCAACACAAGUUCAGCGCGAGAAAGAACGAAGCGUACAAAACUAAUCCUCUCAAGCUACUGAGGCAAUGCCUCUUCCACCUCCUUCCACAUAUCCGCAUUCCCUGAGAACUUCUCCUUUAUCUUCUCCACAAUCUCCUUAGCCUCCUCAACCUUCGACGCGCUCACGAGCCCGUUAACGAGCAUCUUCAUUGUCGAGAAGCACGGAAUCCAGUUCCUCGCCAUAGUCUCCCUGCACAACCCCAAUGCCGUCUCAAAGUCGCCGCCUUUACAUAGAUAAUAGAUCAAAGUGAAGUAAAACGCGCUAUCCCCCACACACCCUCUACUCCGCAUCUCCUUGUAAAGCUUCUUCGCCUCCUCCAAAUCCCCUUCUUUGCAGAACCCGUAGAUCAAAUGGUUGUAAGUGACCCAAUUCGGCUUCAUUCCCUUCCCCUUCAUCUCCUUAAGCAAGGCCAUGGCUUCCCCGGGGCGCUUGAGCUUGCACAAGCUCUGGAUCCGCACAUUGUAGGUGGUAAGCCCCGGGCGGCAAUCGUGCUUCUUCAUCAGCUCCAGAACCUUCUCCACAUCGUCGAAGCGCUCUUCUUUGUAGAAUCCGGCGAGCGCGGUGUAGAAUGUGGUCCGGUUGGGCUUGAUUUUAGCCCGGGACAUUUCGUCGAGCACCGAGAAGAAGGAGCGCGAGGUGCCGGACUCGGAGAAGGACUUGAGGACGGUGUUGUAGGUGUCGAGGUUAGGAUUUAUGCCGUGGGAGGCGGGGAGGUCGCGGAAGAGGCGGGGGACUCGGUCGUGGUUGCGGGAGAGGAUGCAGGCGAAGAGGAGGGCGUUGAGGGAGGGGAGGUCGGGGUGGGAGCGGAAGGUGCGGAGGGCGUCGUCGAGGAGGCCGGCUUGGCCGAAGAGGACGAUGGCGUGGGAGAGGUGGCGAGGAGGGGAGUGGGGGGAGAGGAGGAGGGAGUGGAGGAGGGAGCGGAGGUGGUCGAAGGAGCGGGAGGCGGAGAGGGAGGAGACGGCGAGGGAGAGGGCGUGGCGGUCGAGGUGGGAGGAGGGGGAGAGCGCGGCGGCGCGGCAAAUGGCGACGAUGCGAUCCGCGUCGGCGGCGGCGGCGUCGGGCGCGGCGGAGGAGGAGGAGAAGGUGCGGCGGUGGCGGAGGAGGAGGCGGAGGCGGUCGGCGGCGGGGGAGAACGAAGACCACGACAUGAUUAGGGUUUGAGAGCUCGGGGAUUAGGGUUUCGGGGGGUUUUGGGGAAGGAGAGGGAGAGGUGGGCCGGAACGGUCCACAUUUUCACGGGCGAAACGGGCCUGAGGCCUGGCCGACCCGGCCUGGCUUGUCCCCAACUUCGGGUUGCUUAGCUUACAGUGUUAGGCCCUCGUCACAACCGUCACACUGAACCGUACAGGUAACAUUUCAAGCUCAAUAUCAUAUUUUUAUGAAUCAGUUUUCGUUUUUCGUCUUUGUUUGCAAUGUCAUUAAAUAUUAAGUUUGUGAAUAAAUAAAAAUUUAAGAUAAGCAAAGAGAGAAUUUGAAUUUGUUCAUGCAUGACUUAAUUACUGUAUAAAUUAGAUUUAUAGAUCACUUCCACUAGAUCAAAUAUCUUAUUUUGAGACAAACAUAGUACAUCAUUUGCUUCAUUUAUAAAAAAAAAAUAUAUUAGGUUAUAAUGAGUGAGGUAACUGUGCCUCGAGAUAAAGUGUGAAAUAAUAAUAAAAAAAAAACUACAAUUGUUUUUUUUUUUUUUUGAGAAAAAAAUAGCACGCUACCCGCUUCAUUUAACAGAAAAAAAAAAAAAAACUAUAAUUGUUGAAAUCAACUUGUUCAUAGACUGUGCGAUCAUUGAAAUCAGUUCAUCACUAGUUCACUGCUCGCUGCAUUACCCGGAUCACAUCCCACAACCUCUCUAAACAUGCCAGCCAUCGCAUAUGAAAUGAACCCCUUCUUCUUAGUUGCGCCGUCCUUCGCUCUAAACAGUUCCCAGAACUCGCCGCCAGCUCCAACCACAGGACCCAUAGGUCAAAUAUUAUAGUUGCAUACCCAACUUAAAAUUUGAAUAUACAUAUCAAACUUAAAAUUUGGAUCUAUCAAUCCUUCCGAAAUCAAAGUUUAUUUCUCUUUCUACGGCUGCAAAUUGUAGGAAGGAAAAUUAAUCUUCUUUGAAAUUAAUGAGAAUCGAAAUGAAAUCCUCUCAAAUCAAAUAAAGAUAAUAGAAAUCAGUUAUUCUAAUUCUAGAUUAGAUGAGCAUAAAUCUUACAUAUUUUCCAAUCCAGAGAUCAACAAUUUCACACUGGUAUAAUCACUUGAGCGUACAAGCAGAGCAUCCCCUGAGGCAAACUAAUUCCUAGGAUGGUAGUAAGGGAAGACGGUGUAGAAGGUCUGCAGGAAGGUGAAAACAAGAACGAAAACUGCUGCGAUCAAGGAAAGGAUGGCCCACGGGUUGCCGAAAUAGUCCCUGACCAGCUUCGCCCUCCACUUGGGCCAAUCGGAAUCGCAGUACUUCCUCACGUCCCGGAACAACCCGGCGAGGUAGUGCUUCUCGAAAUCCAUGGCGGCGCAGUCGGAGAGCUGGUUGAAGAACACCGCCAGCUCCUUGUCGCUCGCCAGCUUGUUCUCCAGGAUCCCGCUCUGGUGGAGUAUCGCGACGUCUGCCGGCGUGUCGAUGAUGCAGUCCAUGAACGUCGCGUAGCUCGUCAUGUACGCCUCCUCCGGCUUGCACCCGCCGCACUGCUCGAAUGCCACGAGGUUCGUGAACCGCGAUAACGUCGAGUUCUCCACCGAGAGGAAUGGGAUCUCGAGCACGCCGUCGUGAAAUGCGACGUCCAGGAACGAACCGGGAUGAUGCUGAUCACUCUCGUUCCUUUUCCUCUUCUCGCCCUUCCUCUUAAACGUCACUCCGGCCUCCUCGAGCUCGGUCGCGGACGGAAUCGUAUUCGGCGAUCUUUUCUUAUCCGCCGGCGCCUGCGAUCGGGAAAUCUUUAAUCGGAGAUAAGAGAGGAGGGAGGCGAAGAUCUUAGUCGGCUUUAACCAUUUGAGAAUAGUACCGCAGAUGGUACUGCCCCUCGGGUCAGUUUGUGGUUUCGUGAUGUAGCAGCGGUAGUAGAGAUGCAACAGGUGGUGGAAAUCUUUGGCUUCGCCGUGCACGGAAGCGGCGGCGGCGGAGACGCGACUGGCCAGCAUCUCUUCCUCGGGCCUCUCGACGUUUCUGCUCGCGAGGUAGUUCACGAGAAGCUCCAUCAGGGAGGGUAUCUCCUCGUCGUCCAUGGUGAACGUGACGAGCUCGAACAGCUUCUCGAGCACGAAGAGGGGGAUCUGGUUCUCGAGCAGGAGCAGGUCGCCGCGCACGAGCGGCAAGCUCCAUCCGGCGGUGCAGACGCUGUCGUCGUCCCCCUGGCUCCACUUGAUGAUGAACUCGAGGACAAAGCACCCGUCGAGGAGCAGCAUCUCCACGAACUUCUCGGCGCUGAGCUCGACGGGCUCGAAGUAGCACCGCCGCGCCCGAGGCUCCAGCUCCCGGAUCUCGGCUACAUGGCGCGGAGGACGGGGCGGUCGACGCGGCUGUAGGGGUUGCGGGAGAGGAAGUCCUGCAGGUAGCGCCACUUGUGCUGCUCCAUGGCGCGGAGGACGGGGCGGUCGCCGCGGCCGUAGGGGCCGACGGACACCAUCCGGGGCUCGUAGAGGUGCGUGUUGCGCUGCCGGACGUGGGCCGGGACGCGGAAGAUGGUGAAGCUCUCCGGCGCCAUCGGGUUGCGGUUUAAUCCCCUGAUGUUCGACCUGACGGAGCUCAGCACGGCCUCGUCGAUGUCUAUGGCGACCGCCUCUCCCUGAUCCUGUGCCAUCGCCGGCGGCUAUCCUGUGCAGUCGAAGAUCGUCCUCGGUAUGUAAUCUCCCUCCCUAUAUUAGUACCUGUUCCAGAUCCAGUCGGCACAAAGGGGCAAUAGUAAAGAUUUUCUCUAAGAAGAAAAUUUUCUUUUUUCCCCUAAAAGCUUGUUAGGGGAAAACGCACUGAAUUUAUUUGAACUAUACGUUUUUAAAAUUUUAAUAUAUUAUCUAAUUUUUAAUUUAUUAAGUUAUAAUCGGUUGAUUUUUUUUUAAUAAAUAAUAUAUUAUUUAGUGAAAAGAUAAACUAAACUAUAUGGACGAAACAUCGCAGUGCAAUGGGGUCGAUAAUAUUUGAACUGCAAAAUUUAGUGCUCUAGGAUCGGUUUGUUUUUUUGGGUUGCGGAUGAGCCUUUGAAGAAGCAAAGGAAGAAGCAAAGCUUAUCCGCUUUCCUGUCUGUCCGGACCGGCAGCGCUUGGGCACCCCAUCUCUCCCCCAACUUGCCUCGGUCUUCAGCCCACGCUGUACGACGCUGAAACGCAUACCAGUUAGGGGUGUAAUGUGGGCCGUGCCGGGGCGGCACGGCCCACAUUUUUCGUGCCAAAUCGGGCUAAGGUCAGGCCCGGCCCGGCCUGAAUUUAAUUCGGGCCGGGCCGUGCCGGCCUAAUUUUUCUAUCCUCUGGCCCGCACGGCCCUUUGGCCCGAAGGCACGGCCGUGCCGGCCGGGCCGUGCUUCGGGCCGGCCUAUAAAAUAUUUAUUUUAAAAAAAUAAAUAAAUUUGUAUUAUUUAUUUUAAAAAAAAAAAAGAAAAAGUUUAUAGACUUUUGGUCCAAUGGACCAAAAGUCUUUUGUCCAUUGGACCAAAUGUCCUCCUCCCCAGGUCUGCUGAGGCAGACCUUGGAGGAGAGCUCCUCGGGAGAGGGCCGAGCCCUCCUCCACAGGAGCUCAGAACUCAUGGCCCAAGGCAAUUGCCUUGGGCCAUGGGAUGCGGGCCGGGCGGCCCGGUGGCGACGGCCCAAGCGGGCCGUGCCGUGCGGGCGCGCCCGCCACCCUGCGGCCCGGCACGGCGGGCCCGAUUCGGCCGUGCCGUGCCGGGCCGUCGGCGCUCUCAAAAUGGUGGCCCAGCACGGCCCAGGCUUCGGGCCGGCGCGGCCCGGCACGGUGCUACAGUACCCGUGCGUGCUGUGGCCCGGCCGAGGCCGUGCCGGGCCGGCGGCCCACGUGCCGCCGGCCCGUUUUAAUCCCUACAUACCACGCACGGCUCGGAUGCCAAUUACAGAUUAAUUAUUUAUUUUAAUAAUUUAUUAUUAUAAAAAUUAUAUAAAAUAUAUUAAAUAAAUUUAUAAAAAUAUAUAAUAUAUUAUUUUAAAGUAAAAAUAUUCUUUUCUGACUCAAAUAAAUAAAAUUAAAGAUUGCGUAAUAAAAUCAAACUCUUGAAAGAUUUAUUCACUAAAUUAAAAUAGUUUAAAGACUAGAUAAAUUUUUACAUUAAUUUUUUAAGUAAAAUACACAAAAUUUAUCUAAACUAUAGAUUAUUUUGAGUUGGUUUACUCAACCUUUUAAAAUUUUAAUUUUAUUAUUUAAUAUUUCAAUUUGUUCGAUUUUGAGUCAGCUAACAGUAUUUUGAUUUCAAAAUUUAAAUAUAUUAAUUAUUUUUAUAGGUUUAAUUAGUAUACUUUAUAUAAUUCUCACAAUUAUAUAAUUUAUUAAAUUAAAUAGUUAGCUUACAUUUUGAAGUCAAAAAAUCGUUGAUUGACUCAAAUUAAAGAAAUUAAAGGAUUAAAUAAUAAAUUUUAAAAAUUAAAAAUUUAGAUAGUCCAUUUAAAAUUAUUUAUAAUUUAGAUAAAUUUUGUAUGCUUUUAUCUUUUUUUUAUAAAUAUUUUUCAACGGAAAUUAAUAAAAGCAAGUAAAUGCCUAGAGUGCCAUUGUCCGUUGAUUGUGAGAAGUGGGCCUUAGAUGGCUCAGUGUAGUUUCUAGAAAGACCUUAGAGAUGUGGGUUGGGUGAAUAGGAGCUCUCAACAGGUCCUUUUGAAUGUGGUCGAUAUUUAGAAUACUUUUUUUCGAAAGAUAGAUAGCAUCCUACUCGCUUUAUUUAUUUUAUUUAGAAAUAAACUUAAUUAGAAAUGUGAAUUAAUUAGAAUUUGAAUUUGGGACCUCGGGUUUUAACCACAAAGUUCUUUACCACUUGCUCUAGAAACGGUCGGUCAGAAUACUUAAACGAGUUGGAUUCUUUUUGGGGAUUUCAAAUUCUCCACCUGUUCGAGUCUUAAAAGGUUCAGUUCUAAUGGUAGACUAGACAUCUUUUUCUUUACUAUUGGUGGUUUCAUCACCACUGAUUCCAGAAACUUUGCGUUAACAGAUUUGAGUUGAAUUUUUCCAUUUGGAAUGAAUGGGAUUAUAUCGGAUUCACUUAUUUUCUUUUUUCCAGAGGAAAAGGAUUUAGCCCCUAUUGGAUUCAUUUCACCGAUAGAGAAGUUAAACAUAAACCACUAGAAUUCCGAUCUCAAGUUAUCAGAUUCAUAAAAAAAAUCCACCCAAAUCUGGUGAAAUCAAUUCUAAUCAUGAAGAUUCCAUAGAAAGAAAUCAAUGAUAAUUGAAUCGGAAUUCAUAAAUUGAAGGUACUCUAUGCAGAAAGUGUAAAUUAACACAGAGCAACAUAUAUUCCAGCUACUGAAAUAUCAAAUUUAAAAACGAAAAAUGAAGGACCAAAAAAGGGGCAACUACGUACGUAUCAAACACUAUAGUUUAUCUAGUUUGUGCACUCAAGGUGAAGUAUGGACCCAUCUAUAGAAAAUUGUGUGAAAAAGAAUAGCUUUUUACUUAAUUAACAGAAGGCAAAUUCAAAAAAGAACCUGAUGCUCAGAUAAUCAAAUUCAAUGUAGAAUAUCUAAUGGCUUAAUUAUGAAAUUAUUACAGGAGCAUUAAUUAUGAGCUUACAUCACAAGCUAGCUAAUAGCGUAUGUUAACACAAUACAUAUUUAAACUAAUGAGAAAUGACAUGUGAAAAAUACACAAUAGUAAUAUUCGCCUCCAUCAAGGAACGAGAUUAUUGCGAAAUGUUAGAUCUCAUGUGUAGAGAAUAGAUAGACUACAACAUUGCUCUUUUCCAAACAAUCAUUCAUUGGAAACUAUGAAUUUUUAUACUUUUGUAUUGGCAAACAGGAUUCCCAAUAAAUCAACAUAUGGGAUUGCUCUCCUUCGGUAGGGCCUUGCGUCAGGAUUUUGCUGUGUAAAAAAAGAAAGGUUUGAAUAAAUUAGAUCUUAGUAUUAAAUAUUUGAAAAGGUGAUGUGAUAGUGUACCUUGAUAUAUUCAUUCCAUUCAGCAUCUUUAGCAAUUACUAUUUGACGCUGAUGAUCCCAGCUAAACUUUGGAUGAUGCCUAAUAUUGUUCACUAUUCGAUAUUCACGUCUAUAAAAAUUGAAGCGCUCAAACAAAUGUUUAUAUUCAUACUGCAAGUCAGUUGAUUCAUUGAACUUGGCUACUAUGUUGCACCAAGAAUCCUCUCCACCGUGUAGUAUUUUUUCCCGCCCUGCAUUUGAAAUUUGCUCCACAAACAAACUAAGCAAUACUUUAUCAUGCUCUUUUUCCCAUAUUGCUAAAGGUUUAUCUGUUAUUGUAAUUUUUUUCCUUGCUGAAAUUACAUUUGGCCUCUCUUUCCUAUAAGUAAACAAAAGAGAAACCGAAACUUACAAUUUAAGAAUUUUAUUUCCCAAGAAAUAAAGAACAUUCUGAUCUUAAAAAAAAAUAAAUUACAACCAUUAGGAAAUAUUCAGAAAGUUAGUUCUACAGUUGCAUGAGAAAUAACAAUAACCAUAUGAUGGCAUUCAUCAUAAAUGAAUUCUUCUUGCUACUGAAGUAAAGGAAAAGUAUGACGCUAAUAUGUCAUGAUUCUACUAGGAAACUUGCAAACGUAACUUGUUCACUCUGUGCGGAACAUGAAAUAGCCUCAUUUGAUCAGUUGAUUAACAUAGAACAUGCGAUUACGAAUAUGAAGUCAAUCUUACAAAUAAUUGAGCUUUGAAAUGAAGACUAUAUAAAUCUAUUUUCAAUUGAGCUUGAGAUGGGGCCUUUUACGCGUAUAUAGAAACUAAAUGUUAAAAAGCUAAAGGUCGUGGAGACUAACGAACAAUUGAACUCUCAUAUGGCGGCACUCCAGAUCAAAACGGAUGAAAGUUCAUCAACUAACUUCGGCUAAAACAUUGUUGAUUUUUCUUCUUUCGCACAGGGAAAGGAAAAAAAAGGUCUCUAACAUCAAAAUUCAUUCAGGGGUCACUUGUAAACAAUAACUUGUUAAAGCAAGCAGCAAACUCAGAAGAUAACUACAUGACAUGUUUUCAAAUUCAAAACCCAAGAAAUUACUAGUUCAACGAAAGUAAUUAGUCCCUUGCUGCAAUCCAUUAAGGUUUUUGGACUUAGAGCCAUUCUCAUGCAGGUGCUACUCAUGGUCUCAAUCACUAAUAACAUCCAUGCUGUACACUAAGGCAUGGGAGCACAUAAAUAAUUUGAAUUUUUUUAUUUGUAGGGUCUUGGUAAUUAGUUAAUCUUUUUGGGCAACGACUUCGGAAGUCAAGUUUUCUCCUAUCAAGGAGUUAUCUGAUGAAGCCUCAUUGAUGAAAAAAAAAAAAAAUCAUGGCCUAGCUAGUUAAGAUUCCAAACAGAAAAAUCAGUGAUAAAUGAUUUGAAAUUCAAGAACUGUAGAUACUCAAUGCAGAGAGUGGAAAUUCACACAAAACAACCUAUAUUCCAGCUAUUAAAACAUCAAAUUAGAAAUAAAAAAUUAGACUGAGGAGAGGGAAGCUACGUACAUAUUUACUCUACCUCUUGGAACGAAAUUGAGGGCUGCGCGCUUAAGGUGGAGGAUGGACCCAUCCUCGAUACUGUAGUCCGCCAGAGAUUUGCCCCUCUCCAGUAGUUGGCCGUUGAAAUAAAGCGCAGUUGCUGCCUGCCAAGUUGGAAGAACGGAGACUAGAACGGUGACUAGAACAUCUUGGAUGGUGUUAGAGCUGUCCACCUCAAGCGCAUAAUUUCCAUAAUGUUCUGACUGCACAAAGAUUUUCAUUUCACCAUCUCCGUCGGGUCUCAUAGAAGAGCUAGACUCUGCACAGUUCAUCUUGGCUAUUUCUGUAGGACUAGUGAAGUUGCAUAUGUAAUACAUGUUAGUUUCUUUGUAAUAGAAUUUCACAAAGAUCCUAAGAUAUUUCUUGUACCAGUGCAUGCAUAUAUAACAAACAUUAAUAUUACUUCGGCAAAAAAGAAAAAUUAAGUUACAAAUUUGAUGGCUUUUGUCACAUGUAAAAGAGAUACAGGAUAAUUUGUUUAAAUUUUCUUCUUUCUUUUUUUUUUUCCUCUAGCCAUCUUAUCGAGCUGAUAUUCAGUUUCUGAUGGAAAUAAUCAAAAAAAUUCCUUCCCUUUUUUUUCUCUUUUCAAAAAUAAACUAAGUUUUUCUUCGUAUACUAAGUUAAAGCUUUUACUAAAAUACAUAUAUAGAUAUAGGGCCCGUUUGCCCUAAAUUCUGAAAAAGUAAUUUCUGCAGAAUUAAAUUUGAUUUUGAAAAUUAAUUUUGCUUAAAAAUUGUAAAGGGUCUGGCUAAGUUUAGAUAGAAAUCAUUUUUUCUAAAAAAAUUUUAUAAAUCUAUUUGGUAAAUUUUUCUUUUUUUCUGUUUGCGAAUAAUCGGAUAGAAGAGUUUAUGCAUCUAACACAAUAGGGCGGACGAGGACUACAUCUAGGAUAGAAGAGUAGCUCUCAGUUUUAUGUCUUAAUUAAUUUGUUGGCUUCAUGACCAUUCAAUUCAUCACGAUGUUAAAGAAAGUUACAAUUCAAGAAACUCAUGCGAAGUAGACAUGUAGUUGAAUCUCUUUGCUUGCAACGAGAAUGUAAUUUCCAUCUUUAGGUAAGAUCUUUAAAUCUGGGCCUAAAAUUAAUCAUAACCAAACCAAUUUAAAACCAUUUGGAAUCAAAAUCUAAGUUACUUAAUUUCAAAACAGAAAGGGAAGCAUACUCAUAACUAUGUGCCAACACCCGCGGAGUGCACUUCAGCUGAAGCACGGAGCCGAGAUUGAUUCCGUACUCGGCCAGGGUUUUCUGCUUCUCCAAUUCCAAGUCAUUGAAACAAAGCCUCGGCUCUGGCGCUUGCGCUGCCCUGUUGAGGCCGAGAAUCUCGACCAGCACAUCCUCGACGGUGUUAUCGCCGUCCGCUAGAAGAACAUAGUUAUGGACGGCGCCCAACUGCACAACGAUCUCCAUCUCGCUUGCGAAUUCAGGUUCCCCGACGGAGUCCCAUGGUUGCAUGUUGGAAUUCGACAGUUCCGCGACGGAGGCCGGCAACUCUACAGAAUCCGCCAUCUCCAGCGUUCCUAUAUAUAUAUAUAUACGACUAAACCAAUUAAGCAACAACAAUUGCAAUAUCAUGUUCGCAUGCAAACAUUGUAAAUCACUGUGAUAAUAAUAGUAGUUAGUACCUUCUACGAGGAAGAAGAAGAAUAGUCGUGUGAUGUUCCAAUAGUUUAACACACAAAAGAAAUUGCAUACGGAACUCACAUUAUGUGUAAUUGGGGUCCGACACGUUUACUUGGCUCGCUGUUACAAUUCUCUCGCUGAAGCUUCCUUCUCUCUGGCAUGCGACUAUUCUAUUUUCUGCACGUGGAAGGUUAGGAUAAAUUUAGAUCGAGUCCACGGAGUAGCGUAGGUUUGGACAAAAUUAGAUAAGAGUCUGACUUAGAAUUUGGUGAAAUGCAAAUAUGAAUGUCAAAAUUUAGCAUUUUUCAAUAUAUAUUUGUACUCGAAUUCAUAUUCAAAAAAAUAUAUAAAUAUGGAUACACCCUAUGAAAUAAUUAUUUAUUUUAGUAAAAUUAUAGCUGCGAGAAUUAUAUAAUAUAUAUUAAGUAAAUCUGUAAAGAGAGAUAAUAUAUUUAAAUCUUGAAGUUAAAGUAUCGUUGAUUGACUCAAAUCAAACAAAGUUAAAAAUACGUUGGAUAAUAAAAUCAAAUUUUUGAAAGAUUGAUUAACCAAAUGAAAAUGGUUCAUAGUUCAGACAAAUUUUUAUAUUAAUUUUGUAAGUAAAAAUAUACGAAACUUAUCUAAAUUGUAGAUUAUUUUGAGUUGGUUUACCCAAUCUUUCAAAAUUUUAAUUUUACUAUCUAAUAUUUCAAUUUGUUAGAUUUGAGUCACUAAUAGUAUUUUAAUUUCAAAAUUUGAAUGUAUUAUUUAUCUUUAUAAGUUUAGUUGGUAUAUCUCAUACAAUUUUUACAAUUAUAAAUUUAUUAAAGUAAAUAAUUAGCUUAAAUUUUGAAGUCAAAAGGCCGUUGAUUGGCUCACAUUAAGCAAAUUAAGAGAUUUGAUAGUAAAAUUUAAACUUUAAAAAGGUUAGAUAGUCGAUUUAAAAUAAUAUAUAAUUUAGACAAAUUUCGUUUGUUUUUAUCUUUUUUUUGUCUAUACUUCAUCCAAGGAUAACAAUGGAACGGUGCAGUGUUGUCAACGGAAAUAAAAAUGGAGUGCUAUUGAUUGUGAGAAGUGGGCCUUAGAUGGCUCAGUGAAGUUUCUCGUUAAGACCUUGGAGAUGUGGGUUGAGUGUAGACCUGGCAACGGGCGGAUUGGGUAACCCGUGGACGAGUUAUUAUAUCCGCUGGUUACUUGUAAAAUUUACUCGCAAAUUUUUGAAUAGCCAACAUCUUUAUCCAUACUCACCCACGGGUGGGCGGGUGGGUAUACGGGUUAUCCACAAUUUUUUUUUUUUGCUUUUAUUUUUUUAAAAUGCAAAAUAUAUAUAUUAGUUUAAAAAGCGUAAUAUAAUCUCAUUAUUUGAAAUAUCAUAACAUACAAUAAAAAUAUUUAAAGUCUUAAAGCAAAAAUAUUUUAUAAUAUAAAAGAUACGCAAUAAGAAUUUGGAUUAGAAUUUUUAGGAUAGGUAAAUAAAAAAUAUAUAUUAAUUAAGAAAAUAUAUUUUGUAAUUAAAAAAUAUAUGUGCGGGUACCCAUGGGUACCCGCGGGUUACGCAAAAUGCCCACUGCUUAAUGGAUACCCACCUGUUUUACCCGUAAUUUUUUGGGUUGGAAAAGUUGGUAUCCAUACCCAUAAAUUUAUGGGUAACCUGCAGGUACCUGUGGGUUUUGGUCAAAAUUGCCAGGUCUAGUUGAGUGAAUAGGAGCUCUCAACAAGUCCUUUUGAAGGUGUCCAAUUUACGAAGAACUUAAAAGAGUCGGAUUCUCUUUGAUAGUGUUUGGUUCGGGAACAAGGGGGGGAAUAAGCCCUUGUUCCCCCCUUUGUUCCCAAACGCAAUGUUUGGUUCCCGGAAGCUUAAAUUUUCUUCUUUUUUUUUUUUUUUUUUCCUCUAGCCAUCUUAUUGAGCUGAUAUUCGGUUUCUGAUAGAAAUAAUCAAAAAAAUUCCUCCCCCGCACCCCCUCCUUUUUCUUUUUUUCCACUUUUCAAGAAAUAAGACAAAGUUUCUCUUCAUACUAAGUUAAAAGCCUUUUACUAAGAUACAUAUAUCGAUAUAGGGCCGUUUGUCCUAAAUUCUGAAAAAUUAAUUUUACAAAAUUAAUUUUGAUUUUGAGAAUUAAUUUUGCUUAAAGUUGUAGAGGGUCUGGCUAAGUUUAGAUAAAAAGUAAUUUUUUUAAAAUGAUUUUGUAAAUCUAUUUGAUAAUUUUUUUUUUCUAUUUGCAAAUAAUAGGAUAGAAAAGUUUAUGCAUCUAACACAAUAGGACGGACGAGGACUACAUCUAGGAUAGAAGAACGCAACUAAAGUUUACCCAAAUUUAACCAAACCAAUACUAAUUAAAAUCCGGGUCUAAAUUUCUAGAAUGGAUUUCUCCCUUUAAUGUAAGAGCAACGUUCGUUUCUCUAAGUUGAUGUACAGAUGAAGCGUACUCAAAGAACUUAACAUUGAAAGAAAUUGUAUAACUUACCAGUACUUCGGUUGUUUAAUUAACUCUGUAUUUAUUUUGACUCUCGAUGAGAAGAUAGGAUCUACAUCAGGAGCAGGCAGGAUAACACAAUCUACGUAUUUGAAAAGAUAGGAUAAUNUGUUCCUUGGCGACAAUAACGAAGGCGGGGCCGUCUCCUCUUCCUCCGCCUCUGUCACAUCCCGGGCCCAAGUGGAAGCUUAUCCGGCACGUGUACAGACCCGUUGUGCGCACAAGGCACCCCUGGUGCACACAAUGCGUCUAUCACAAAACAUAUAACAGAGAAGGAAUGAGAGAGAUAAUAAGGAAAUAAACCUAUCAUGGUAAUCAGAGCAUAAGUACUAACAAAACACUAAAGCAACAAUCCAAUAGAGGAAAUAACGAGUUACUACAACAAAAGGGUACAACUAUUAUAAGAUAUACAUAAGUUGAUAAAAGAAGAAAUACAUCUCAGAACAUAUGGUAGUUUCUAUACAAAAUGGUCGGGUACACCCUUCGGGACAAAACAAAGAAAGGUGACCACCUAAGCAAAAAACUUCCAAAAAGGCUCUAGCUAGUCGCAACUCCCUUACCGCGGUCCUUACACAUGUGCUACAGGAAGCUGAAAACAAGAUUCACCUUACACGAGAGCGACUGAUCUCGGCUCAGAGUAGACAAAAAAGCUAUGCUGAUAAGUGUCGGCGAGAAUUGGAAUUCCUAAUAAGAGAUCAUGCCUUUUUGAAGGUCUCACCGACGAAAGGGAUUAAGAGAUUUGGUAUUCGAGGAAAGUUAAGUUCUCGAUUUGUUGGACCUUUUCAGAUCUUGGAGCAUGUAGACCCAGUAGCAUAUCGGCUUGCUUUGCUGCCGAACCUAUCGGGAAUACAUAAUGUGUUUCAUGUUUCCACGCUUUAGAAGUACUUUUUGACCUAGCUCACAUUUUGAACUCCACUCUAUUAGAGUUGACGAGGACUUGAGCUUUGAGGAGCAUCCUGUGAUGAUUUUGGCUCAUGAGGUGAAGAAACUUCAUAAUCAUGAAAUUCCCUAUGUGAAGGUAAUUUGGAGCAACCAUAACAAGCGCGAGGCUACUUAGGAGUUGGAGAGUGUGCUGUAGGAGCGUUAUCCCCAUCUUUUCCAGAUAGAUUCUUAGGUACUCAACUUUUAGUUUCGCGGAGGAAGCUCCUUUUUAGGAGAGUAGAGUGUAGCACACCGAACUUUAGUAAAUUGCAAUGUUCCAGUGUAGGAAUAGUGCUUUGAGCUAUUCUGAAAGUUUUGAAGGUUGUUUGGAAUGUUUUGGGCUGUUUUCGGAGCUAGUUAGGCACGAGAACAGGUUCCCGACAUCAAAACUUGCAUAUUGCAGAUUUUGGUGUUGAGUACCGGUACUGGAUUGAGGUACCGGAACUCAGUAGAGUGCCGAAAUGGACAGCUCUCGGAUUUUGCAGAAUCUAGCUGUGUGUACCGGUACUCAAUGCUGCAAAACCUAAUUUCGUGCAGUAUACUAUUUUUGGGUUUUUGAGGGGCCUGAUGAAAAUUGUUACAUUAUGUAGUAUAACCCCUCAUCCCCCUCACUUGUUCACUUUUGGGCUGAGGUUAGAGAAAGGAGAAGGUGAGUGCUCUCUCUCUUGGAUUUCUUCCUCCUAAUCCCUAAAAUCCUUGGAUUUGAUCUCUUCUUCUCAAUCUUCUAUAUUGAAGUUUGCUGCUUGGACCUUGAAGGGAGCUUGGGAGUGAAGAAAGGAGCCUGUUUGAGCAUUCAACUCCAACCUAGCAUUUUUAGCUUGGUUGGAGUUUUUGUUGAGAUUAGUAGUCUUUUUAAAUCCUCUAAUUGUGAGUUUUGUAAGAAUUUUGGAAUAAAACCUAGUUUUAAGGAAACUAUGAUUUAUUUUGGGAUUUCUUGAUUUGAAUUUUUUAGGUUAAAUUGCUGGGUGUUGAACCCUUUCUUAAGUUGGAUUUGAAGCCUUCUGACUUUGGUUUGGAUCUUGGACAAGUUCUACUUGAUCAAAGGUAUUUUUCACCUAUUUUUCUAUUGAAUUUUUGGUGAAUUUCGUUGUAAACUUUUUAGAACCUUGUAAUCCUUUGAAAAUUUUUCUUAGGAUGUUAGGAGUCUAAGAGAUAACUUCGUUUGGUGAAACGAAUAAGUAUCGAAUAAUAUCCGGUGAGUUUGACCUUACCGAAAUGGAUAAACUCUUCCUAUAUCUCCUAUAUUGCUAUAGGAUUUAAAUUGAUGCAUAUUCAUGCUAUUCAUGACUAGGGGUGUAAACGAGCCGAACACAAGCGAGCUGGGGUCGGCUCGUGUUCGGCUCGUUUAUUAAAUGAGCCGAACACGAGCUGACUCGUUAAAGUAUCGAGCCGAAAAAUCCAGCUCGUGUUAACUGGCCCACGAGCUGGCCAACAAACUUUGAUAAAUUAAAAAGAAUGAAAUCGAAAAGAUAUAAAAAAUAAAUUUAUAAAAACUUCAAGUCAUAUAGAUCAUGAUCUAACAGUGAAAAUCGUACAUAUGAAAGCUCAAUUUUUCGAAAACAAAUGGCUCGCAUACAGAUGCCUAGUUUGCUAAAAAUAAAAUAAUAAAAAAACACAUUAUAUAUAAUUAUUUAUUUAUAUAUAAAAAUAUAAAUUAAAUAAAUUAUAUAAAUAUAAAAUAUAUGUAUUCGAGUUAUUAUCGAGCCGAAUAGGAGCGAGCUGACCCCGGCUCGUGUUCGGCUCGUUUACUAAACGAGCGAUUCGAUCUCGAGCUCAUUUCGAGCCGAACACGAGCUGGCUUGCGAACACGCGAGCUGGAUUGCCACCCCUACUUAAUUCCAAACAAAAAGGGAACAAAAAGGGAAUAAAUCAUACUCAUAGGUGUGUGCCAACACCCGCGGCGUGCACUUCAGAUGAAGCAUGCAGCCGAGUUCGAUUCCGUAUUCGGCCAGGGUUUUCUGCUUCUGCAACUCCAGGUCAUUGAAAAAAAGCCGCGGCUCCGGCGCUCGGCCCGCCCUGUCGCUGCCGAGAAUCUUGACCAGCACGUCCUCAACAGUGUUACGGCAGCACACUAGGAGAUGGUAGUUGUGGGUAGCGUCGGACUGCACAGUGAUCUUCAUCUCACUGGCGAACUGAUCAGGUUCCCCGGCGGAGUCCCACUUGGAGUUCCACAGUUCCGCGACGGAGGCCGGCAGCUCUGCAGUAUAUAAAUGACUAAACCAAUUAAGCAACAACAAUUGCAAUAUCAUGAUGUUCACAUGCAAACAUUGUAAAUCGCUGUAAUAAUAAUAAUAGUAGUUAGUACCUUCUUAUAUAUGGAUCAAUUAAUUAAUUACAGCGAGUCAAAGUAUCACAGGCCACAGCAACUCCGAGAGAGAAAGAGAGAUACACAAAAAUAAUAGAAAGAAGAGGGAGGAUUUAUAGAAAUAAGAGGACUUAGUGAGAAAGAAGAAGAAUAGUUGUGACGUUCCAAGAAAUUGUUCGUACGGAUCUCACAAUGUGUGUAAUUGGGCCCGACGAAAACGCGUUUACUUGAUUCACUGUUAUUUCUCUCUCUGGAAGCUUCCCACCUCUUUCUGGAGUACUACUUUUUUCUUUUCUUUUCUUUUCUUUUCUUUUCUUUUCUUUUCUUUUCUUUUCUUUUCUUUUCUUUUCUUUUCUUUUUUUUUUUAAAAAAAAAAUAGCAAACCAACAAAAACAACAAAAACGUACAGAGAAAAAAAGACAGCAACUCCGAGAGAGCUGACAUUCACUGUUAUUUCUCUCUCUAAAAGCAGCAUGAGCUUGAGAACAGAGCCAGAAAAACACGAAACAAAACAAAACAACAAAAACAGAGAGAAAAAGAAGAGUAGAGGAACAGAGAGAAAGGAGAGAAGGAGCAGGAGGAUAAAUUUUCUUUUUUUCUUUUUUUUUUUCAGCAAGUGGUAGUCGUAGGUUGGAAUAAAUUUAGAUCGAGUCCACACGGAGGCGUAGGUUAGGAUAAAAUUAGAUGAGUCUGAAGUAGAAUUUGAUGGAAUGCAAAUAUGGAUGCCAAUAUGGGGACUCAUCUGUAAAAAAUUAGGAAGCUCCUAUUUAAUUUACCUUUUUCUAUAAUCUCUUGUUAAAUAUAAAAAUAUUUAAACACCGUUCUCUAACAGUUUAAGCUUUUAGAGUACAACGAUUGUUUCACAUGGUAUCAGAGCAGGAGAUCCUGAGUUCGAGUCACGCCAGGCUCCUAGCAUAUUAAUUUCCUCCCAUUUAAUUCAAGCCCACGUCAUGGGACCCAGACGUGAGGGGGAGUGUUAAAUAUAAAAAUAUUUAAACACUAUUCUCUAACAGCUUAACCUUUUAGAGUACAACGGUUGUUUCACAUCUCUCUCCAAGAUACCCGAUCGCAUAAGAUGUUUACGCACCAUAUAAAUUCUAUAAAUCUACUAUUCUAUACAUAACCUUAUCGUGCGGACGCAUUCGUAUACGGAUGAAUUAUGAUUAGAUGAAUUAUGGUUAGAAAAUUAUUUAUGUACUUAUAUCAAGAUCAGUACUGUUGAUCUUAAUUUGAAGUAUUCUAUUUUCUUUUUUUAUAAGGUUUUUAAAUUUGAACCAUUCAUUUUGUGGCAGCAUGACGCACUUGACAAUGAUAUUAUAAAAAAAAAUUAUGAACUUUCAAUUCCUAACAACUUAGAAAAUCUUAGAUUACGCUUAAUGGUGUGAAUUACUGAUUCAAAAGUUCUAUUAUCGAAAAUAAGACUAUAACACAAAAUACUUUGUGCCGUUAAUAUAACGCUAGCUUAGCUUUAUGCUUUAAUUUUCAAAACUUUUGAGAGAAUUCACAUCUUCAAAGUCCACUAAUAAAAGAAGAAUUUUAAAAAUUCAUCAAGUAAAUUCAAGAUAUUAAUCAUUUUCCAGGACCAAAGGGCCAAUCAUCUCUUCGAAUAAAAAACAACUAAAGAAGAAACAAAUCCUUCACAUAACUAUGCUCCAUCAAAAUAAUUAACAAACACUAAUUUAACUUGAAAACUUAAUAUAAAUUUUUUGCUUAUAUUAUUCUUUGAAGAGUGCCUCUUUAAUCAUGGUUACAAUAUGUGAACUAUGGUAUGUACAAUAUAUUUGUGAUAUGAUUUGAUAUAGCAACCUACUAAGUUUUUUUUUUGAGAAAGAGGUAGCGAGCUAUCUGCUUCAUUCAUCAAGCAAAAUGAACUAAGCGUACAUGAUGAAAGCAGCUAAGGCCUCCUAUGAAGCGGAAAAAAAUAGAAAAUGAACAAGGAAGGAAAAAUAGAGCUAUAGGAGAAAGCUAUAGAGCUAGGACAGGUGAUGCGGAAACACAAAAGAGAGAUAUCCGGAAGAAAAAGAAAGGGAUCACAGGUCGUUCCCGGCAUUCAUCAAGGCAAGAACGUCCAGUCGUUCGUCAUCAAGCAACCUACUAAGUUACAAUCCAUUUGGAUGUAUAUGGUGGCUAAUAACAUAAUCAUAAUAGGACCAUCAGAUAACAUCAUAUAGUAGGUACUAAGAUGAUGCACAAUUAAAUUAAUGAGAAAUGACAUUCAAUAAAGUUGAAAUCAUUCUCAUGUUUACUUUGUGUGCAUAAUAGUCAAGUAACACAUUUUCAAAUAAUUGUUUGCUUUAUUACAGUUACAAUGCACAUUCAGAGUUUGUAGAUGACAAUGAACAAAAUGUAUGAAAAUAUAGUGUUGUUGUUCUUCUCCAAAAAGCUCUGCUUCGGGUUUUGCCUGCGCGAAUGCCCAAAUAGUUUGAAUCAAUUCAAGUAUAAAAAAGGAUCGAUAGUGUUGGAUAAAGAAUAAUAAUAAUAAUAAAUACGGUUAGUAUACCUUAAUAUAUCAAUUCCAUUCAUUAUCUGUAGCAAUUACUACGUGACGUUGGUAAUCCCACCUACGUGUUGGUUGUUGCUCGAUGUUGUUCACCGUUUCAUAUUCGGUUGUGUAAAAGCUCAACCGGUCUUUCAAAUCUUCAACUUCAUAAUUCGACGCUGUUGCCUUGCUGAAUCUAGCCACUAUGUUAUGCAAAGCAUCCAUUUUAAAGCCUUACCCGUCUCUCCCGCCAUUAUGCACAUGUUUUACCAUCAAAUCAAGCAGUGCUUUGGGGUAGCGUUCUUCAGCCAAAUUGCUAAAAGGUUGGUUUCCUCUUUUGAUGGUUAAUUCAUUGUAGUAUUAUUUUUGUCAGCUCUCUAUUCUGCAAGUGAAAUAAAACAAGAAUAUCCUAGAAAUACUUUUAGGGUGCGUUUGGUUCGCAUUAUGAAAGAUUACUAGGAAGGAAAAGAUGUCCGAGAAUCUUAUUCCUAUUCAUCAUAUUACUAAGAAUGUGGAAUUCCUGUGUUUGGUUCGCAUGGUCAUAUUAUUUAGCCAUGUUAUUUAAGAUUACAAAAAAUAUACAAUUAAUUAAUUUAUUUUUUAAAUUAAUUUUAGAUAAUCUACCAAAAAUUUCAACAUUUUUUUAGAAAAAAGGAAGAGAGAGCAUAGGUUAGAAAGAGAGAGCAUAAUUAAAAAAAUAGUAAGAGAAAUAGAGUCGAAAUUAGAGGGAGUGAGAGAGUUGAGAUUUUAGAAAAAGAGGGAGAGAGAAAGCUUAGUAAGAGAGAAAAAGAGUUAAAUUUUAGAGAGAAAGAUAAGUUUAGAGAGAGAUGUGAGAUUAUAGUAUGAAGAAAAAUAAUACCAAUUAGCCGACGGAUAGGGAGAAAGAAAGAGAUUAGACAUAUUAUGAUUACCCCAAUCCAUAUUAUAGGAUACCCACCCUUUCUCAAGAGAAUGAGAUUAGUACUUUGGGAUGAAUCUUAUUCCCAAGUAAAUCCAAUAUUACUAACUAGAUUACUUAGUGCGUUUAACCAAACACCGUCAUAUUUUUUUAUUCCUAUUGGAUUACUAGGAAUCUUUAAAAGAUAGCGCGAAUCAAACGCACCCUUAAACUAAAAUAACAGAGAAUAAUGAUGAUUGAAAAUAGUAGAAAAUCGUAAUCAUAGAACAUCAUUGUGGACGGCGUUUCGACUGCAUGCACAGUGAUCUCCAUCUCACUGGCAAAGUCAAGUUCCACAACGGAGUCCGGCGGCUCUACACAAUCCAUCUCCACCAACUCUAUAUGGACACAUUGUGUUGUUCAAAUAAUCACAUUCAAUAUAGAAAAUCUAGUGACUUACGAAAUCAUUGAGGGAGCAUUAAUAUAAGCUUACACUAAUGAUAGAUGCUAACAUAAAUACAUAUUUAAAUAGAUCAGAAGUGGCAUGCGCAAAAUAUAGUGUAACAAUGUUUGCCUCGGUCAAGAGGCGAGAUUAUUGUGAGAAUGUUGAGAUCUCAUAGCUAGAGAACGAAGAGAUUACAACACUAUUUUUAUUUCAAGAGAGUCACUCAUAGGAAAUCACGAUAUUUUAUUUUUUUUUCUCGACAAACACACUUUCAUAUAAAUUAAUAUACGGUACUUUUCUGCUUCGAUAGUCCUUCGCACUAGGAUUUUCCUGUGAAAAAGGAGAAAGGUUUGAAUAAAUUGGAAUUAAGUACUAAACACUUCGAAAAGCAAUGUGGUAGUAUACCUGAAUAUACUUAUUCCAUGCAGCAUCUGUGGCAAUUACUACUUGAUGUUGAUGAUCCCACCUAAACUCCGGACGAUUCUUGAUUUUUCCCACUAUUCCAUAUUCACGUUUAUAAAUCUCGAAGCGAGCAUGCAAAUGUUUUUCUUCAUAUUUCAUGCCUGUUGCUUUAUUGAACUCGGUUACUAUAUCACGCCAGGAAUUAUUUUUAUAGUCUAGUAUUUUUCUCCCUCUUGAUUGAAUUUGCUUUACCAAUAAAUCAAGCAGUAUUAGAUCAUGCUUUUCUUCCCAUAUUACUGAAGGGCGAUACGUUAUUUUAAAGUAUCUCCAAAUUGGCUAUCGUACAAUUGUCACUUCCCCCCCACUCGCCGCGACCUCUUCGCCAGCCAAGGCGGCCGCCUUGUCCGUUGAAUAUUCUGCGGCCCCUCCCCUCGCCGCAUCCGCCUCUUUGGCCGGCGAACGGGUGUCCGUUGACGUCUCGGGUGGCGGGUCGUUUAAAUUUUCAAACCUCUCCGCUGUCCCCGCAUCCCUAGACAACGGUGACAUCAGGGCUGCAGACUGCCGCCUUCAGCUUUCACGCCCCCCUUUCGCCAGCUGUUUUGCUAACGCCUUUUUGGCCCCUGUACCCGCGAAGGGAAGCUUCGUAUCUCUAUCCCAGGGAUCCCUUCUGGCAGAAUUAGACAAAAGGAGCUCUGGGGGGAUUUUCUUCUCCCUCGGGAACCGGCGGAGUUUCUUCCUACGAUUCUCUACAUCCUUCUCGUUUUCUGUGCGGCCCCCCUCCAAACUAGUUGUCGGAUCUCUCGGAUCCCUCCUUCUGCAUGCUUCCUUCGGGUCGGAUGUGUGGUUCGGAUCCGCAAACCUUCUCUCCUGCCACCUGGGACCCAAUUGGACCCUUAUCCGGCGCCCUGGGCCAGACCUAAGCUCGGGCGGGCUUUCUGCGUCCACUAAUGCCCCAUGCUGGCUCCCACCCUCCUGGUGCUUGGGCUUGGGCCGCGGCUCGGGCCCGGGCUCGGCCACGGGCGGCCUGGACGCAGGCAUCGUAAUGGACUUGGGCGUGGGCUUCGGUGUCGACUUGGGUGCCGGGUCGGGUGCGGCCCUGCGCUCAGGCUCGGACGUGGGCUUGGAGGAGGGCUUCGACGAGGUCUUGUCUGCGGGCCUGGAACCGGACCGGGGCGAGGGCUUGGGUGCAGGCCCAGACGAGGAUUUGGAGACACGACUGGGCGCGAGCUCGGCCGACGACUUGGGCGCGGGAUCACCCACGGGCCUGGGCGCCUUUAAGGCUCCAAGCGACCUUGCGGGAGGUUUUGGACCGGUCGAGCUCGAGCGCCCUGAGGUGGCGCGCGGGGACAGCGGAGGCAGCGGAGGGGCGGCGUCGGAAGGCGGAGGCAGAGGAAGCGGUGGGGGUGAGGGUGUUCUUGGAGGCGGCGAAGAAGACGGAGAGAGGAGAAUGGGGGCUAUGGGUUUUACGGUUCGGGACGGAGGGGUGCGGGGUCUUGUAGUUGGAGACGUCGCGGAAGAUGUGGCCGCAGCCUGGGCCGUCGGGUCGGGCGUAGAGGGAGCAAGCUUCGCCAUGGGCAUGGGCGCAGACUGCGGCGCCGGGUCGGGCUCGGCCUUGGGAGCGGGCUCGGCCUCCAUCGUGGACUCGGGCGCAGAGUUUGGCGCCGGCUUGGGCGUGGCGUCGGGCUUCGAGGCGGGCCGGGGCGCGGCCUUGGCCGUGGGCUUGGGCGCAGACUUGGGCGCCGGCUUGGGCCAAGCCUUCAAGCCCAAGGGACCUUGCGGGCCGGGGCGCUUGGGGGCGGGCUCGGCCGACGGCCUAGGCGCGGGCUCGCCUGCGGGCCUGGGCACAGGCUUUCCAACCUGCAGCACCCACCUGGCCUUGAUUUCCACUUGCAGCCACCCUCCCAACUUGGACCGUCCCACCUCGGAUCCACCCAGAUCUAGCGGAAGAGUCCGCAGCCAGUUUCCUGGCUCUGUUUUACGCAAGGCCAUGCUCAGAAAGGCGCAACUACUCGAAGGCGACCCAGCUAUUCCCAGUCACUCUACGCGCAAAUGGUCCAAGAAAAAAGUUAAGGCGAAAGGUCUUCGCUGCGGGGUGGACCUUCAUGAAGAGGCCGUUAAGGACUUCCUUGAGUUCCUGAGUGGGAAGGCCUAGGAGCGGCUGGAGGAGCCGCGGGUGUUGUGUUUCGUGUGUCUUUCCUUUCUGAUGUUUAACAUUUUGUGUUGGAAUGUUCGGGGUCUCAACGACCCCUCUAAGCGCCGUUGUGUCAAGUCUGUUGUCUCCAGUCGUGUUCGUUCUGUCAUCUGUCUCCAAGAAUCUAAAGUGGAUAGUGUGUCUCGCUCUUUUCUUCGCUCUUGCUGCGGAUCUGCUUUUGAUAGAAGCCACUUUAUUCCUGCAUCUGGGGCUUCUGGUGGGCUCAUCACUUGUUGGAGCUCCAAAUUCUUCUCUUGUAGCGAGGUUAUCGUGAGAAAGCACUCUCUCACUCUCCAUCUAUCUUGUCUCAAGAGUAAAAAGCAUUUCUUCCUCACGAACGUCUACGGGCCAUCUACCUGGGACGGCAAGGAUGAAUUCUGUCUCGAGCUUCUCUCUUUACGCGGGGUUUGCACUUCCAACUGGGUGAUCUGCGGAGAUUUUAACUUUACCAAAAAUCAAUCUUAACGAAAGGGAAACCUCUGGAGCUCUAAGGCGAUGGCUAUGUUCUCUGAUCUGAUUUCCAACUUAGCGGUCAUAGAUCUCCCUCUGUCCAACCAAAGCUUCACUUGGUCGAACAUGCAACGCAGACCCACACUGGCAAAACUAGACAGGUUCCUCGUUUCAACUGAAUGGGACCAAUCUUUUCCUCACAGCAAGGUCAAAGCCCUCCCUAGGAUCACUUCCGAUCACGCACCGAUCAUCUUAUCCACCGAAGCGCAACUCAUACCCAGACGAUUCCGAUUCGAAAGGGUUUGGCUCACUAAAGAAGAUUUCCACUCGAAGGUGCCAAUCUGGUGGAAUGAAAUUGCUGACAAGAAUUCGGGUAUCCUCACAAUUACUGCCAAACUCAGACACUGCCGAACCAGAAUUAAAGAAUGGUGUAAGACGAGUUUCUAUAGCAUAUCGCUCUCGAAGAAGAUUUUAGAGGACGAACUGCAUGACAUUGAUCUCUUAGAAGAACAACACGACCUCCCCCAAGAUCUAAUAGACAAGCGAGCCAAUCUCAAACGUCAUCUACUCUCUAUCUUGGGGGAGGAAGAAAUCCUUUGGAAAACUAGGGCCAAACAACAAUGGCUAAAGGAAGGCGACUCCAACACUAAAUUUUUUCAUGCAGUGGCUAACGGGCGAAAACGCUCCAACUCGAUUGAUGUGAUUGAAGACAACUACGGGAGAGAAAUCACCAACGAAGCUACCAAACGGUCAUUCUUCCUGCAAGCUUUUAAACAACGGUUUGGACAAGCAGACGACAGAGCGAUAUCUUAUGGGGAUUGGAGUAACCUUUACCUCUCUAAUAGACUGCACAAUGCUGACUCCCUUACGUCCCCCUUCACAAUCGAGGAAAUCAAAACCGCCACCUUCCAACUUGGAAGCGACAAGGCCCCGGGACCAGACGGCUUCCCCCUCUCCUUCUUCCAAACUUUCUGGGAGACUGUCAAAACGGAUAUUUUAAAAGUUUUCACUGACUUGCAAGAUAAUAAUCUCUUCACCGGCCCCUCAGACUACUCACUUCUUUGCCUAAUCCCGAAGAAAGAAGGAGCACGCAAGGCCAACGACUUUCGUCCAAUUAGCCUUAUCAAUAGCAUUCAAAAAAUCAUUUCCAAAGUCCUGGCUAACAGACUAGCCCCCACCCUGUCAUCUAUUAUCUCACCAACUCAAUCGGCUUUUCUCAAAGACCGGUUGCUGAUGGACUCGUUCGUAACAGCAAGUGAACUAAUUAACUGGUGUUCGAAGACUGGAAAGGAAUGUGUAUGCAUUAAAGCGGACUUUGAAAAGGCCUUUGACAACGUACGCUGGGACUUCCUGAAAAGCAUUUUGCACUGGCUUGGUUUCAACGACAAAUGGUGGGCAUGGGUUGAGCAGUGCAUCUGCAACGCCAAAGUAGCCAUUUUAGUCAACGACACCCCGACUGAUUGGUUUAAGAUGAGAAAGGGUCUUAGACAGGGCGACCCCCUCUCGCCCUACCUCUUUAUUUUGGUGGCUGACUGCUUAGCUAGAUUGACUGAUACUGCAAGGAAUAACAACCUUCUCCGUGGUAUUGGACCGUCCACUGAUUGUCAAACUACGCUGAUUCAAUACGCGGACGACACAAUUUUCUUCUCCGAGCCUAGAAAACACUUAAUGCGAAACCUACAGUUUAUUUGGUAUAUCUUCGAGUGGGCUUCAGGUCUGAAAAUCAACAUGGACAAAUCAGACCUGUAUUAUCUGGGCCCUAACCCCCAAAGAGCCAACAGACUUGCUAACAUCCUUGGAUGUAAAGUUGGGAAACUCCCGUUCCGCUACCUCGGUCUACCGCUUUAUAAUAAACACCUACGAACGGAAGAUUGGGCUCCGGUCAUUGAUCGCAUAUCAGCAAGAAUCGAGGGGUGGAAAGCCAAACUCCUAUCCUAUGGGGGUAGACUCACGCUCGUCAACUCGGUUCUCACUAACUUGCCGCUAUUUUAUUUCUCCAUCUACAAAGCGCCGCAAUGGGUUUUACACAGGAUCGAAUCACUUAGAAGAUCUUUCUUCUGGAAAGGCUGCGCUAGCAUCUCUGGAGGAGCCUGUCUUGUCAGUUGGAAGUCCAUCUGUAAAAGUAAGAAAGAAGGUGGGUUAGGGAUCAAAGAUUUGGAGGGAAUGAAUCUGGCGCUGCUAUCUAAAUGGUGGUGGCGCUUCUUCAACGAACCACAAUUACUGUGGCCCAAAUUGAUUUCAUGCCUCUAUUAUGUCAGAAGAAGACCUUUACAUGAGGGAAGAAGUUUUGUACCCCACUCGCAGUGGUGGAAAGGUGUUCUGCAAUGCCGCGACGCCUUCAAAUGCGGUUUAUCUUUUGAGCUUGGCGAUGGUCGGAACAUCAGGUUGUGGUCCGAUAUUUGGAUUGGUGAAACAUCUUUGAGCACCUUGUUUCCAGACAUCUACGCUCAAAUCGCGAACAAGAAAGCUCGGAUAUCUCAAUGCUGGAACCAUAAUGGAUGGAGAUGGCGUUUUAUCACUAGAGGCUUCGCGGCGCCCCGAUUGGCCCACAGUGGUAGACAGCUGCAAUUACUCAAAGACACACUUACAAGCAGACACCCGUGCAGCAGAGAAGANCAACGGCCGAAAACUCAAUAGUACCAAGGACUAGAUAUAUAUAUAUAUAUAUAUAUAUAUAUAUAUAUAUAUAUAUAUAUAUAUAUAUAUAUAUAACUAUCAGCAUAUAUUGAUAAAAUACAUCGAAAAUGAAUUCUUCAUUUAAUGUAUAAUAAAAUAUCAAAGCAUAAAUGCAUGUGACUAAUUAAUAUGUCCUGAUUACAUACCGCCCCAAAUGCAAUUAACAAAAGAUUUAGUGGUUGGUGUCCGAGCCUUCAUGUUUGAAUUCUAGUUGAUUCACAUUUUUCGAAUAGCAUGCUAUCUUUCUCUUAUAUAUAUAGAGUGAGGCUAUUAUGCUAUUGAUAGCACAACCUCACUCAUGCUAGUGAUUUUUCUAUCAUUGGAUUGCUUUGAGAUCCGUGAUAUAACUUAAUGGGAGAUUAACGGAGAGGGAGCCGUUAAGUUUCUCUCACGCUCUCUCUCCCCUCUCUCGAUCUUCCUGUCUCUUACUCCCCCCCCUCUCUCUCUCUCUCUCUCUCUCUCUCUCUCUCUCUCUCUACGCCUUGGUCCAGACCGAGCUUCGCCGCACGCCCCCGUCGCUCCCUGGCGCUGCCCCCCGCAUGCCGCCGUCGCUCCCUGGCGCGCGCACUUAAACGAGGUAUGAUUUUUUUUUUUUGUUAUUACAACUAAAAAAUAGAUCUACAACUUUAUAUUUGUUUAUUUGAUUGGUUUGAUUUGUUUUUUUUUUUCCUGAUUUUGUUUGUUUGUUUGAUUUUUUUUUUUACAUUUAACCUCUCAUAAAAAAAAUUUAAUUUUGACUUUUUUUUUCAGAUUUUUUUUUUGACAUUUCGUUUGAUUUUUCAGAUUUUGUUUAUUUGGUUUUCAGACUUUAAAAGUUCAAAAAUCUGAAAAUCUGAAAGGAAAAAAAAAAAUCUGAAAUGGUUAGCUUUUUAUAGUUAUAGUUAGUUUUUUAUAGUUAUAGUUUUAAAGGUAUUUCUUUUAAUUUGAUCUCUCAAAAAGAAAAUUCUGAAAAACACUAGCAGAGGAGGCUUUCUUUAAAAAAAAAAAACCGAGAGUUUCCAACAGAAUGCCAACAGAAUGCACAUAUAUUCGAAUUUUGAACAUUCAAAGUAAACACUAGUAAGGAAGGCAUUUUUAAAAAAUUCAUUUAAAUGCUUAAACUAUUAUAUAAAAAUGCUUUUAAUAUUAUAUUUAUAUUUAUAUUUAACAUGUGUUUGUGCGGAUGCAUUUUUUUUUAGUAAAAAUGUCCGGAGAAACCAACUGUACCUAGUGCAGUUUGCUGAGGGGAUGAUGAUUGCUACUGAAGAUUCCAAGUAAGAAGUCUAAUUGAUUUAGAUUUCUAAUUAAAUUCAUUUCUAAAGAAAUAAACAAAGCACUCAAGCUUCCUUUUUCUCCACAAAAAAAAAAAAAAAAAAAAAAAAAAAAAAAAACAAACAAGGAGAACCCCUAACUUAUAGGCUAAAUAUUCCACUCCGCCCCUUCUACUUUAGUCAAAAAAUAAUUAAGAGUUUUUAUCAAACUGAUUGAUGAAUUUAUUAAAAUAAUAAUUUACAUCAUUUUUUUAGAGAAUAGAACUAGACAAAUUAACAAAAAAUAGAGUGAAUAAAUUUGAUAAAAAAUAUUUUUCUAAUUAGGAGCUGUUUGGUUCUACGGAAAAGAAUGGAAAAAGUUUUUAGAUUAAAUUUUUUUAUGGAAAAUCUCGUUUAAAGUUUUCCACAUGUUUGGUUCUAAGGAAAAAAAACUUUUUUGAAAGGAUUUUUUUUCCUAAAUUUUAUAAAGAAUUAGUAUUUUUGUUUCCUGAAAUUUUUUAGAAAAAUAGAAACACUUACUUUUCAUAAAAUCUGAAAUUUUUUUUUUUCAAAAAAGCUAUUCUUUUAGAAUCAAACAGGAGAAAAUUAGAAAAGUAGUUUCUUAUAAAGAAUCUUUUUCUUGAAAAAUAAUUUUCUAUACUUUUUGGAGGAAUCAAAUAGCCCCUUAAAUAUAACCCAAGAAAAAAAAAGAUGAAGUUGAGGGGAUGUCAAUUAAAAAAAAAAAAAAAAAAAUUUUAGUUUUUAUAACUAACAUUAUUUAAUUUUAAAAUUUAGAAGUUGAGGGGUCUCAAUCAAGGGAAAAAAAAAAAAAAAAAAGAGUUAAGGAGUCUAUUUUAGAAUCGCCAAAAUUUUCUCUAUUUGGUUGAACAAUUGUUUUUCUCCACCUAUUUGUUUUGAUUAUCUAUCCUAUCAUCAAUUAAUAAACAUCUUUAAUAGCUAUGCAAUGUUUGCUUGAUGCUAUAUGCCUUAAGAGCUAUGCAAUGUUUUGUUUUGUUUUUCUUUUUUUUUUUCCAACACACAGGGGAUUGAAUCACUGACCUCCUCCACCCUUCACUCCUCUCCCCAAAACAAUACACAUCAUCUACACUAGCACAUCUACACUAGCAGCUGGGUGUAGCUAUGUAAUGCUUUAAUUUGGGGAGUUAGUUUGCAGUAGAAGGAAAAUUUUGUCUUACGUUUUUUGCUUUUUAUCUUCUUAUUUUCUUCUUUUUUAUUUUGGGUAAAUUGUAUAGAACUUGCUUGGACUGUGGAUCAUUCUGGAUUGGUUAUACAACCUUCAAAAUUAUCUUCUGUGAAUAAAUUAUCUUUUACAAAGUAAGCUCCUUAAAUUGAGGGGCUUCUAUAUUCCUGAAUAAAUUAUAUUCUUGAAUAAUAUCGUAUAUGUGAAACAAUAAAAGAUUGGUUAACAAAAGUGUAUCCGCACAAAGAGAGAGAGAAGAAACAGAGAGAUGUAUCCAGAGAGAGAGAGAGAGAGAGAGAGAGAGAGAGAGAGAGAGAGAGAGAGAACUUUGGUAGGUGAUGCUAGUAACAGGCUAGCAACACUUUUGGAAUAGAAUGAAUUUGUUGAAUUUGAUAAAAUAACAACACCUUUCUAUUCCUUUUUCUUUCUCAUAUUCAUCAAGUGUUUUUUUUUUUGUUUUUUUUUUGGUUCAUACACAACUGUUCUUCAUUUUCAAUCCACAUUGGUGAGUCAAGGUUCAUUACAAAUUUUUGUUCACUGAAUUAUAGGGUGACAUACAUACCUCAAUCUGCAAUACAACAAUGGAAGCCAUAGAAGGGAUGGCCCGUCUAGAAGUGCCUCUAAUUUCUGUUGCUGAUGAUGUUGGCACAUCUAGUGAAAAGGUCAAUAGCGGAAUUGCUGAGGAGGCUACUAGUUCAGUCACCGAAUCGAGUAUGAAUGUGGAUUGUUGGAUUAAAGAGGUGGAGAAAAAAUGCAAGGGCGCAUCCGAAGGUUUGCUAUGGCAGUCCAAGAUGCCCGACGAUAAAGGAGAGCAGUUAUCUCAACAAAGGGCAGUGGCGAUAGGGCCAUUUAAUAGGGACAAGAGCACACAUAUUACUGAUAAAGAAAAAUAUUUGAUUGUCCACCUGAUGAAUAAUCUAUACGAUCAUCUUGACUUGGAAGGCUGCUUCAAAAUGAUAAAAAAUCAAGUAGUAGAUGCUCGCAAAUGGUACUCCGAUUCAGAUAUGCCUGAAAGCUUUGGCUCUACAAAUGACAACACAUUUGCAGAGAUGCUGCUGCUAGAUAGCUGCUUCAUCUUGUUUAUGUUGACGUCCAUCAGUGAGAUUCAUAGUAAAGUGACUCGUGAGGGAGUGAUUCUACAUAGACAUUAUUGUUCAAAGAGCCUAAAGAUUAUGCCGGGUAAGCUGUUUGGAGCCGAUUCUUCAAAGAAGCAGGAGAUUAAGCUGGCUCUAGACGUCGUGCCUAGAUUUGCCGGCAUAUUACGUCACAAAGACAUGAUCAUGGUGGAUUUGCUGACCCUCCAAAACCAAAUCCCUUUCUUUGUGAUCGAGGAGCUAUUUAAGAAGCUCCAGUUGGAGAAUCCACUCCAUAAAUAUGCCCUCAAGUUCUUCAAGACAGUCCAUCCAAGGUCCACGCAAGGUUGCAAGGGCAAAAAUAGUCCUCCCAAAUUCCUACAUUUGCUCCAUCUUUUCCACUGGUCUCGAGUCCCAAAGAAUAAGUGUGAUGUACUUAGAUCAUGGCGUCCCCAGCUAGAUGAUUUUUACUGGGAUUGCAAAACUCCGAGUGUGAUGGAACUUGGAAAAUCCGCCACAGGGUUCAGAAAGAAAACAUCAGGCAGCUCACUGGAUAUCUCAUUUGGGAGGGGUAGGCUUCUACCCAUUGUCCCGGUGCUCAACAUCCCACGCUUACACAUCCGUGAAUAUAGCAGCCGCAUCUUCCGUAACCUCAUUGCUUUUGAGAUGCAACGUCCAAGAUCGGAUCGCCGCACCAUGGCUUUUUCUGUAAUUAUGCAGAACUUGCUGCAAAGCGAGGAAGAUGUGAAGCUGUUUCGGCAAUGUGGCAUUUUGGCGAACACAUGCAUGACCGACAACAAAAUCGUUAAUUUUUUCAAAAGCUUGAGUCUAUCGAUCGGAAAGGAUGAUAUGCCAAUCGAUGUGUAUGUCUUUUGUCAUCAGGUCCUGUCUUACCACAAUGGUCGAAUCAGUUGAUUCCGUGCCAACGCCAUUCUCAAGUACUUCCCCAACUGGUGACUUUUUCUGUGUUCCCAGCUCCCAUGCUUGUUGUUCUUACCCUCCAGCAAACCCUAUAUUCUAUGCUCAGCUUCUAUAUAUCAUUGUUGAAUGCCCCAAAUUCUACUCAGUAUGAUGGUAAUGCAUGCAUAUAUAUAUUAUCGAACUAAAAAACAUUUUGUACCAAUGUUUAUGGACCACCAUCUUGGGAUGGAAAAGAAGAGUUCUGUGAUGAGCUCCUUGCUUUGGGAGCGGUUUGUUCCAACUAUAAAUGGGCUAUUUGUGGAGAUUUCAAUUUUACCAGAAACCAGGCUGAACGCACCGGGAACCGGGGGAGCAAUAAAGCGAUGUCAAUGUUUUCAGACCUCAUUUCAAAUCUCGAAGCCAUCGAUCUGCCUAUUGCCAACCAAAAUUUUACUUGGUCGAACAUGCAAAGCGCACCGACCCUGGCCAAACUGGAUAGAUUUCUUGUCUCGACGGAGUGGGAUCAAGCUUUUCCGCUUACCAGGAUUUCCGCACUACCUAGAAUUACCUCAGAUCACACCCCUUUAAUACUCGAUACUGGAAACUCGAGCACUCAGAGGAGAUUUCGGUUUGAGAGAGUAUGGCUUACUAGGUCGGACUUCACAAAUUUCGUACCAAUCUGGUGGAACGAAGUAUCUGGUCAGAGGUCUGCCAUCCUUACGCUGACGGCGAAGUUAAGACAUUGCAGAAACAGGAUGAAGGAAUGGUGUAAGACGAAAUUUCAUAGCAUAUCCAUCGCGAUAAGAUCUUUACAGGAAGAAAUUCGGAGCAUUGAUCUUUUGGAGGAAAGGAACAUCUUGACCCAGGAAGUACGGGAUAAACGAGUUGACCUUAAAGCGCAGCUCCAACUCAUCUUAAAGGAAGAAGAAAUCCUGUGGAAAACGAGAGCUAAACAGCACUGGCUAAAGGAAGGAGACAGCAAUACAAAGUUUUUUCAUGCAGUGGCCAACGGGCGGAAGCGUUGUAAUGAGAUUCACUCUAUUGAAGAUGAGGACGGAAGACAAUUCAGUAACGAAGAGCUUAAGAAAUCCUGUUUCUUUCAAUCCUUUAAACGUCUUUUCGAAAGUGUGGAAGAUGACCCGCCGUCUUUCGGCGACUGGGCCGACCUGUAUCGUGGAGACGUCUCACUUGACACGGAUUCCCUCACAAGCCCCUUCACUAUAGAUGAAAUUAAAAAGGCGACUUUUCAACUGGGAAGUGACAAGGCGCCUGGUCCCGACGGCUUCCCGCUAAUUUUCUUCCAACACUUCUGGGAAACAGUAAAGGAUAACAUUCUUGAUAUAUUCAGAGACCUUCAUAGCGCGAAUCUCUUUACGGCACCGGUCGACUACACGUACGUAUGCCUAAUCCCCAAAAAGGAAGGAGCACGCCUGGUUAACGAUUUCAGACCGAUCUGCCUUCUGAACGGAAUACAAAAGAUUAUCUCGAAAGUUCUUGCGAACAGACUUGCGGGGGUAUUACCUUCUAUCAUCUCUCCUUCACAAUCAGCGUUCCUGGAAAAUCGACUAUUAGCUGACUCGUUCGUCACUGCGAGUGAACUUCUCAACUGGUGUGCAAAAACUAAUAGGGAGUGCGUCAGUGUUAAGGUGGAUUUCGAGAAAGCUUAUGACAAAGUCAGCUGGAGGUUCUUGCAAAGUAUAUUACGAUGGCUUGGGUUCAGUGACAAAUGGUGGAACUGGAUUGAACAAUGUAUCGGCAACGCUAAAGUUGCAAUCUUAGUAAACGGCUCGCCGACUAACUGGAUGAAAACAAGGAGGGGACUGAGACAGGGGGAUCCACUAUCCCCCUACUUAUUCAUUUUAGUGGCUGACUGUCUGGCUAGGGUCACGAAAGCAGCAAGGGCUAACAGUUUACUUCAGGGAAUAGGACCCACAGACGAAUGUCAAACAGUAAUUCUGCAGUAUGCGGACGACACUUUAUUCUUCGCAAAGCCCAAGAAGUCUGCUAUGCGCAAUCUACUCUUCAUCUGGAAGAUGUUUGAAUGGGCAUCUGGUCUUAAGGUAAAUAUGAACAAGACGGAGCUUUACCACUUAGGUAUCACCGCUAACAGAGCGAAACGAUAUGCGGAUAUUUUGGGGUGCAGAGUCGGUAGCCUACCGUUCCGCUACUUAGGCCUUCCGCUACAUAUCAACCCCCUUCGUAAGGAAGAGUGGAUGCCGAUCAUCAACCGCAUCGAGACGCGCAUUGAAGGAUGGAAGGCAAAACUCCUCUCUCAAGGGGGGCGACUCAUCUUGGUCAACUCGGUUCUUUCAAAUCUUCCGUUAUUUUACUUCGCAAUCUUCAAAGUACCGCAAUGGGUGCUGAAACGAAUUGAAGCGCUUAGAAGAUCUUUUUUCUGGAAAGGGUGUUCCAAAAUUUCGGGUGGGUCUUGCCUCGUUGGUUGGAAAACGAUUUGUAGGAGCAAAAAAGAAGGAGGUCUAGGGAUAAAAGACAUGGAAGCGACGAAUAAGGCGCUUUUAGCAAAAUGGUGGUGGCGCUUAUUCAACGAGAAAGGUCUGUUAUGGGGGAAGUUGAUCAAUGCAUUAUAUUACACCAGAAGAAGGCCGCUAUGUGAAGGCAGAUCCUUCAGACCGUACUCUCAGUGGUGGAGAAGUGUGAUGAACUGUCGAGACGUGUUCAAGUGCGGUGUUUCAUAUGUCCUCGGUGAUGGGAAAAAUAUCAGGUGGUGGUCGGAUAUUUGGAUCGAUGAAACCCCUCUCAGUACCCGAUUUCCACGAAUCUUCAGCAGUAUCAUACAUCAGGAAGCCACGGUCUCACAAUGUUGGAACGGAAGAGGAUGGAGAUGGCGCUACUUAACCAGAGGCUAUGAUACUCGUACCAUUGGUCAGAACUGCCAACAGACGGCGUUGCUCAAAAACCUUCUCUCUCACUUUAGCCCAUCAGAUGCACAGGACAAACUAAAGUGGCGGUGGACUACCAACCAAAUUUUUACCGUCAAAUCUCUCUAUGAAUUCAUCACCGACGGAGGACAGACUGAUACCUCGUACGACCACCUAUGGGGCUUAAAAAUCCCACUCAAACACAAAGUUUUCAUUUGGAUUCUACUACGAAAGAGAUUACCUACGGCAGACAGAUUGCUUCGCCGAGGAUGCAUCGUGGAUCAGCAAUGCAGGUUUUGUGUGUCACUAACUGAAACCGUCGACCACCUAUUCCACGACUGUAUCGUUGCCAGAUUUUUUCGUUUUAAAGCAAGAGUUCUAGAGGAGGAGAUUUCGGAAGUGGGGGAUGUUUGCCACCUGUGGACACUGAUCUCGGACAUACCCGUGGCCGUUACAAGAUCAAAAUUGUUAACCAAGCUGGCGGCAAUUUGGUGGGUCGUUUGGACGGAGCGCAACGGCAUAUGCUUCCGCGACGUGGCCUUUAAUGUUUCCAGGGCUCUCGAACGUGUCGCCGUUUUGACCGAAGCCUGGAACGAAGCACUUUGAUUAUCCUCCGGGCUGGGUGCCCUGCCCGUGUCUCCCCUUUGCUGAUUUUGGUUUGCUCGUGUCUACUGGGUCUCACGGACCUGGUUUUUUUCUCUUAUUUAUCUCCUUUCUUCCUUUCUCUUGUUCCCUCGGUUCGGAGGCCCUAGCUGCUUCCAAUUUGUAUGCUAAAUUCAUUUUGCUUAAUGAAUGAAGCAGGUAGCUUGCUACCUUUUUCUCAAAAAAAAAAAAACAAAGUGUCUUUGAUAAACGAAAAGCCAGUGAACUCCGUAGGGAACAUUUGAUCACAUGGGAGAGCACGCUCUAAUCAAAUCAUCUUCCCCGGCCAAAUGUUUCUCCAGCUAAAUAUUUUCAUCUUUUUUUUAAAAAAAGAAAAGAAAAGAAAAUUGAUAGAUGAAUGGGCAAGUAAGGUCAUUCCUUGUGAAAUUCUCUCGACAUAAAAAUUUGAUGAGAUCGAUGGAGAAAACAAUAAGAACGAUAAGAAAUUUAUUGGUUCGGCAAAUCCUUUCAAGGAACUCUCUCUCAGGGAUCUCUCUUUUCUCUCCGACGACAAUUUCACAUGGAGGUUGUAAGUUGUGGAAUCUAAAACAAUGGUUUCGAAACAUAACACUCCAUAACAAGUUUCAGCAUGCAUGCCAUGUUCUGGAACUUAAGUUGUUAGUUCCGGAACAAAGCUCACAUUCUUGAACAUGAAUGAGACGUUCUUGAACAUGAGUUCUCAGACUAGCCUCCAACGCCUUCGGAUUCCACGAACCGUUGCCUCAUAUUCCCAAACACACUUUAUACGAUUUCGAAACAUGAAUCUUGUGACCUGAACACUCGACUCUUGAUCAAUAUUGAAUCGACUCGAAACGUGACUUCACCUCGAUCUAACAAGAUCAUUCCUAAGAAUGAUCAUUCUUACUAUAAAUUUACUAGUAUCUCUAAUCACUGUACUUCCAACUACGUCUGUUUUAGUAUGAAUUGAAAUGCAUUUAGCUACAAAUAUAGCAAACCUAACCCACUCCUCUUUAAAUAUAUAUAUCUCAACACUUUGGAAGCUUAACAAGCCUUAACUAUGGUGUAUGAUUUUGAGGGUUACAGUUAAUGACAACUUGUUAGCUCGAGUGGCGUGAGCCAAUGGCUCAAGUUGCAUUAGAAAAACAAUGAUAAAGGUCCCAAGUGCAUUGCACCUUCAAAAUAAGACACCCCCCUGCGGGAAAACAUAUGCGCAUUUUCGCAUUAAUUGUUGUACUCUUCUGACACGAAUAUUGUGGCGUUGAUUGUUUCCGUGUACGUAAGAGAUCAUGUAAGUAAUAUCAAUCAGUAAUCUGUAACGUGCAGAUGAUUAAAUUAUUCGACAUUUGUAUCGGUUGCAGUUUAAAUUUCGAGUAUUCUUUCCCGUUACGACAGAAAAAUGAAAAGUUCGAUCUUGAGAUUUCCGAAGGCGGAGAAUACUUUCGAUUUAAUCCAUACCACCGUAUAGCUUAAGAUUUCCGUCGAUCCUCCUACGUUGAUUCCUGCACCACUUUAUGUCCAUUUCUUUCUUUGAUGAUUCCUGCAUCUCUUUUAUGUCCAAUUCUUAGUUGUCCCCUUUCCUUGGUACUUACAAGGCAAGAUACACAUGUGCAACAGAGAUAAAGAGAGAUGACACAGAGAAAUCAAGAACGAAACUGGAGGGAUUAAGGUCGAUAGGACGAUCUGUUUGAGCCUCUUUUCACCCCCUCCUCGAAGGCGAAGAGAGCGCAGAUAGGAGGAGCAAGAGAGGAAGGUUUGAUGGCAGGUCAUUUCGGCUCGGAUGCAGUGCUGCUGGUGGUGGUGCUGGCGGCAAUUCUUCUACUGCUCCCUUUGGUGCUUCCUCCGCUGCCGCCGCCACCGUCGCUGCUCCUCUUAGUGCCCGUCGGGAUGGUGCUGCUGCUCGCCUUUCUCGCUUUCGCCCCCUCUCACAACACCUUCGGAAACGCAAACUUUCCGCAAUGAAACAAAACAUCCAUCGGUACGUAUCUCGCGACCGCAAACACCUCUCAUUUGUCUCUUUUCCUCUUUCACCUUUACUUCCAGAAGCAUUAAAGGAAAGGAGAGGAAAGAUGAUAAAAAUGGAAAGCGACUAAAAGACAGAUUCCUUCUUAUCACUUACUGAUUAUUUGUUGGUUCUUCUACAUCAAAUACUAUUUCCAUCAAUGUUGUAUUUGAUUCUUCCCCUCAUAGGAUGAGUGAAUUAUUUUCUGGGAAGAGGCCUUAGGGAGAACUUUUGCUCUGCCCACGGCCAAAGAUCAAACACAAAUUUACAUGUGAAGAGGAAAUAAAUGGGAGAAGGGAACAAAAAGGGAGGCGCCCGUCGGAAGCAGGAUGAAAUAUAACCCCUACCCUUGGAGCAGCUGCGGUGGUUGCGAUUGUUCGGGCGGACUCUGCAGCGGAGUCAAGCAAUAGAGGAAUAAGCCGGCAACGAGAACUGCAGCACCAGCAACGAAGCCCGCUGGGAGCGAUGACGCCACUCCGAUGUAUGGUAAGGGCAGUGUGAAUGCGUAGAUGGACAACGGAACUGCACCACAACCAUCAUCAACAAACUGUUACAUUUUCCACUUAAAAUGUACCUGGUUUUGAAAGGUAGAAGGGAACGGCGGAAGAAAAGAAAACAGAGAAAGACCGGUGCUACUAGUUAGAUUUGUUUUCAUUGACAUUUGCAAAAGUAAUUGAUAUGUUGAUCUUCUGUAACUCCGCAAAUGAUCGUUAUGAACAAAACAAUUCAUAUCUUCCGAAAUCAAAACAAGAGAAGCUAAUUGAUUAUACAAAACGUGCCGAGUAAGACUUCACCAUCAGGUAGCAUAAGGAGCUCGAGAAAAUUAAAGUAUCAUUUUGUCACCCAGGGCAUACCAAUUUAGACUAUUUUAUCUCUGAAAUCAAAUGGAGAAUAACAAACGAAGCUGAUUUAAUUAUUUUUGUCAUAAUAGUAACUAAAAAGGAACCUACGAUGUCAGUGAGUAAAAAUACCCAAGCUUUUACCCGGAUCAGAACCUGAAUGAGGCGGUUUUAACCGAACAUAAUUAGGGACAGUUUCAGUGAUCGGAAAGAAAUUAACAGAUAAGGCAAGGAAAACAGAUAGCAGUUACAUAGAGAGAGAGUAAUGGGAAGACCAGAGAGCUAACCUGAAAAUGUGGAAGCAAGGCAAGAUACCACUGCAGAAGACAUUUUGAGAAGGUGUAGCAAAGAUAUGUUGAAUGCCAUGUUAACUAUUACAAAGAGAAGCGGCAGCAGCGGUGCUCCUUCACAUCCUGCAAGAAACCAUCAUUAUUAGGAACUUUAGUUGGAAAGAAGGAAAAAGAACCCAGCAGAAGCUGAUGUGAAAUAUGAAUUGUGAUAAGUACCAGCCGAUAAUGAUCCUAUAUUGAGAAAACAAGCUGCACCAUCUCUUAUGUAUGUAGGCAGGAGAUGGAAUGGAACUCCCCACAACUUAGACAAAAGGGGUAGAAGAAGACAUAUAAAGAAUGCCUGCAAAAUAUCAUUUUUAAUUGUUAAGAAAGUUCAAAUUCCAAUUGAAAUUUGGGUUUCAAGUUAUUGUCAAAUAUGGUAGGCACCUGGUAAGCAGAUCCGAACGAGUUGACAACAAAAAGAUCAACCGUUCCUCCCUGUGGUAUGCAGAUUUUGCUUGUUAGGAAGCAUUAUAAGUAUAAAACACAAACGAAGAAUUGAAAAGGUAAUAUACUGAUAAGUGAAUAGUGACAAUAUUUUGCUAUCAUAACUUCCGAGAAAGAUGAUUAUGGCCAAGAUUGGGAAUAAUUCUCCCAGUGCAGCAGCUUUGAGUUUUUAAAUCACCAUACAAAUCUGAAAACGCCUGAAAGCUCCAUAUCUUCCUAUGUGCCCAAUAACACCGAAAAUGUGGCUGGACAUUAGAUUGAUAUUAAUACUGGAAGGCUGGAGAUCUAAAUUGCUUUCAGAUUUUUAUGGAGCUCCAAAGUACCCAAAAUGGCUGCUACAGGAGAAGCAAUCAUAAUCAAGUCCUGUAUAGUGCAACACAAAGAGAUCAAUAAUACCAACGAGUGUACCUUCAGCUUCUUUGCAGCAUCCAAGAAUAUUAUCUCCUACAGAUUAACAAUGUUUGACUGCAUCAGAAAAAACUUAUCUUAACAACUUGGGGUAGUGGAUAUAAUUUCUCAUAUCUACUUCGGUAGUUUUGAUACCUUCAAAACUGUGUCGGCAGCUUGAAACAAAAAUGAAGUAAUCAUCAAAAGGGGCCAAAAUAUCCCAGAGCCUUUAAGCGAAACGCUUGCACCAGAUCCACUGCAUAUGUCAAAGUGAAAGUACUAAUAGUAGAAUGACUCAGAAUUAUAGAAAGUAUUUACUAAUUUCUACUCAUAGCAUCAGAACAGGGUAUCUCUAUAGCACUUCCACUUUUCAUCAAACCGGCCGAUUUUAGGGAAGCACUUCCAAACUAGACCUUAAGGUACUAACUAUUUUCUGGUCAUGCUACCAAUUAUGCAUCAUGCAUCAUAUGGAAAUAAUCAUCAAUAUAGAACAACUUACUGCAAGGAAGAGUACAUGUCCCUGCUAGAAGUGCAAUGCAGCUGACAACUGUUUUAGCAUGCUUGCAUAAUAUGGUCCUUGAACUCAUCAUGAGUAAUUAUAGAAAAUCUGGUAAUAGAGUAAGAAUUUCUAUUUAUUGCUUACAAAUAAGUGAAUCAACUUUCAGUAUUUCAGAGGAUGCUUAUAAAUAGUUCAGAAGCUUCUCAUUUACAAAGCCAAUGCGAACAGGGCGAACAGGGCAAUUUCAGUUAUUAUUAUAACAAAAACUCAAGAUUUGAAACAUUUCUUUCUUCUUUGUGCGUUAUACGGUCAAUGAUAUGUUACUGAAUUCAUAUUCGCUGAAUAUACCUUGCUACAGUUAUAAUGACACCAAUAGCAACAAGUAAGCAUCCUAGUAGCUGGUUGGACUUGUAUCGUCUCCUCAGAAAAAUAACCGACAAGAUAAGCUGCCAAACAAGAAAGGUCUGCAAAAAGAAACAUUACAAACUAUUAAUUUUGAAAUACACAUAUACCUGAAAUCAUAAAGGAUGUAAAACAGUGAAAAGUUUAUUCACCUGCGAUAGUAUUGGAAUUGAAGCCCCGGAAAGAACAGCUGCUCCAAGAAAGAGUGAGCAAAUCAAACCAAGUAUGAUAAGUAUUAGAAAUUAAAAUUGAUUCACUUUCACAAAAGAACUCCGAAAAAUGGGGGAGAGGUUAAAAAAGAAAAAGAAAAAAAAUAUACUGAAACUCAUGGGAUCUAACAACUUUGUGUGUGUGUGUGUGUGUGUGUGUGUGUGUGCGCAUGUGACAAUUUGUACAUGGACAAUAGCAGACAAUAAAUUGGCCAGAUAUCACUGUAUACUUUAUAGUGUCAAAUGUCACUAUGAAUUGGAAAGCAGUGCGAUAACAACUUGUACACAUGUCAUAACAUGAAGAAUUAAAAGUGUCAAAUUGAUUUUAUCUACUUUGUGUGCAUCGAAAGCAUUUUGAUUUAGCUUCUAGAAUUUUGUCUACUACAUGUUUACAUGAGGAACAGACAGAUUUACCAGCUCAGUUGUACUGCAGAUGUAUCCUUUUAGAAUAGGAUAAAUGAUGCAUGUAUGAUUGACUACAGAAAACUAAUAAACUUUCAAAAAUGAACUUUACCUCCAGCUGCCAUGCCAGAUGCGGCUCCUAGAGCUUCUAGCAGUCCUACAGCUAGAAACGGCGUCUUUGGUAGAGAAAGCAUUUCAUGGGUUACAAUGCCAGCGUGAUAGCGAAUAUACAGGAUGGAGAAGUACACAACCACAUAUCUGGUAUUCAAAAGUACGCAUGUAGCCAAAUUAGAAAUAUCACUUACCAAAAUGUGAAUAGAUGAAUGAGUUCAAAUUUUGUAGUACAUUGUGAGUGAUAAAAGCAUGCUAACGCUAAGUUUGGUUUUUGGUUAACUAACAGAACAAUAGGUCAUAUACAAACUAAGCGAUACCCCCAAGUUUCAAACCAUCUAGAAACUCGUUAUACUAAACAAUAUUCUUUUUAGCAUAUAAUAACAUGACCAAUUACAUGAUCUAAUUAUCACCCCAGGAUUUCGAUAUCAUUCGAAUGCAGAUCCGGUUCACGAGUUGGUCAAACCGGUUGAUAGAGCCAUUGGGUCGUCGAACCCGAAAGCUAUGGUCGAGAGAGCUGCUACUCAGAGUCUCGGAUCAACCAAUUGGUAAAAUAACUAGUUGCCUAGUUAGGAUCAAUCCCCUGUUAGAAUCAUACCCUUCCAAUUUAAAAUUGUACUCGGAAUGCUCUCUCUCGAGGACAUAGGCUCCAAAACAAAUGUUUAUCCACCACUUUUAUGUCAUGAAUUUAAUGAAUUAUUAAGAAAGAAGAGUAUAGUUCAAUCUAAAGUACAUCUCAAAUUUCUGGAGUUUCAAUGUCCUUUUUCCGCUGGACAAUGUAGAACACAUUUGGCAAGGGCUGCUCUAAUUUUAUAUUUUUCACAAAAAAAUCAAACAAUAUUUUAAGCUUGGAAUUAUAUUUCUAUGAUAAAAAGCAAAGUAAACGUGUUAAGAACACGCUUACGCACAUGUAAAAUUGCAGCAUCCGUGAUAUUUAAGAGGCUACAAUCAGAUGCGCACUAAUAAGCUUUUGAGUGGUACGAGUCCCACAUUAUUUCAACUAAGAAACAACUUGUCUAUGCGUAACAGGAUGGUCAGACUUGUUGCCUGCUGGUGGGUCAUUUGGACGACCAGGAAUGAUGCAAUUUUUAGUAAGACCGAGCCGGACCCCCUACGUGAUGUCUAUAAGAUUAAACAGUUGACGAACCUGUGGGAGCAUCAUAUCACAGCUAAGAAGUAACAACAUAUCACCCUUUUUUUUUCACCCUCCUCAAGACUUCGGAUGCCUCACCCUUGUAAUUUAAUUCAUCCUUUUAAUGAAUGAAGUAACAUGUUAGUUUUCCCUCAAAAAACAAACAACUUAGUCAAUUUUAUGUAUUUUUCUCAAAAGACAAAACAUUUUUUUUCAAUAUUAAUUAAUUGUGCAUUAAUUUAUGAAAGUCAUAGGAAAUGGGAAAUGGGAAAUGGGAAAUGGAAGGUGCGUAACGGCUUUUCGCAGCCGCAACGCGCCACGCCACACGUUCCGUUGCUCGACACAACGACACACGACGAGCUCGAACGUGCCAAACAAAAUGUGGGGCCCAACGACACGUGCUCUUUCUUUUUCUUUUUCUUUUUCUUUUUUCCACUUCUUCAUCUCACGACAAUAUCAGAAAAUUUCUAAAUAUAAAUAAUUAGUUUUAAUAGUAAUUAUAAUCCGCUCUUUUUAUAGAUUUUUGUUUAAUAAUGAUUACAAAAUUGGGGAAAAAAAUUGGACAAAAAAGCGACCACAUACAGUCCUAUCAAGUCGCACGUGGACACGUGUACGAUAACGGAGAUCGACACAGCACUUUUAACCGCCGUUAUUUCCCUCGGGAACAAAUCAACCUACUCUUUCUCACGGUACAGCUACGCCGUUAAUGACACUUCAGACGACAAAAUUAAAAAGAAAAAAAAAAAAACAUUGCACCACGAGUGUCCAAAAUUAAUCCAAAUCUGAUCGAUGUUUUAACAUUUAAACUAAAAUUUCUAAAUAAUUAUUUUUAAAAGUAUUUACUUAAUCAAGAGAAAUUUACACAUUUUAGCAUUAAUAGUUUACAAGAAAAAGAAAGCAAUUUCCAAAACUUAAUUACAGCAAAAUGAGAAAAAUUAGACCGAAUUAUUAUCCAAAUUAAAUUUGAAAAUUAGAAAAAUAAGGAGGAGGAGGAGGAGGAGGAGGAGGAGGGAGUGGUGGAAACACNAAACAUUUUGUACUACCAAAUGUUGGAUAUAUAUAUGUUUACAUUCAGUAUUCUCUAUUACUAACUAAUUUGGUGUUCUUGCGUUAUUAGUGUAGUGGCUUUUUAUUUAUAUGAAAUUUCUUCACACAUGUGACUCUGGAUGAGAUCUGUGAUGCACAUAUAAAUCACAAAUAAGGGUCAGGGGUAUCAAGGAUUUUAGUGCUCGUCACCACAAGCUGUCUCUACUUUAUUAUACUAUGUUGACAAAAUAUUGACACGAUACAAUUUCAUGCCAAAGGCACGUACGGCUCAAACCCUCUUUUUUUUUUUUUUUUGUCACAUUAGCAAAUAGUUAUCUAAACUAGGAAAGAUCAGAUAAAAAUAAAAUUAAAGCAUGAAAUCCUUUAUGCUUCCUUCCUAAAGCUCUCUACCCAACUUGGGAGAGAGCUUCUAGAGAGAGGGAGAGAAAUGAGAGAGGAGUGUAAUAGCUGUGAGAGAGAGAGAGAGAGAGAGAGAGAGAGAGAGAGAGAGGGUGUUGGGAUCUUUUUAUAAGUUGUUACAAUAGCAAAAAGGCCCUCAUUUUUUUUUAUUUACAGCAAACCUAACCUGCUGUUUCGCAGUCGGCAUACCGGUACGCGGGCAAUUUGUCACCGGUACGCUCCCGCGCAGCUGCCGAGAUUCGAGACCUGAUGUUCUCGGUCUGGCGUAGGGUAUCAGUACUCGGGAAAAUAGUCACCGAUCAAUAGCCUUGACGGAGGCUAACCCGAGAGCUGCUACUCUCGGUCAGCUGCUUGGUGCCGGUACUCUUUGAAAUAGUCACCGGUUAACAAUGCUUCAAAAUUUUCGUUUUACAUUAUUUCGACUUUAUUUCGCACCGAGUAAUAUUAAAACCUUUUUAACUCACUUGGAACUCAACUUUGACCCUUCCAACAUUAUUGAAAUGCUAAUUGGAUUUUGUCCAAUUAUUUCUCUCGCACACUUUAGUCGAUUUGACUAAAAUUCGAUAUACACUAUCGAGGCUUCGGUAUAUUACACUGGACGUAAUGUCGUUUAAGCUGCUCCAUCGCCCGAAGGGAGGGCUCGUUGCGGCGACCGUAGGGGCCGAUGGCGACCAUUCGGGGCUUGUACAGCACCGUGUUGCGCUCCCGGAUGAAGGCUGCGACGCGGAAGAAGGUGAAGUUCUUAUCCGCGGCCGUCGGCUCAUCGCUCAAGGCGCGUUGUUUAUGCCUGGCUCUCAGCAGGGACUUGGACUUGGGAAUAUCUAGUGCCACUUCCACUCCUUCCAUCGUCAACCUGUACCAGAGGUUCUCAAACUCUCACGAAUUUAUUGGUGCAGAAAAAAUAGGAUGAAAGAGUCCUCCCUCGGCUUAUCUAUAUCCGCAGCUAUGUUAGUUAACUCACGAAUUAUUCGCGAAUUUUUGAAAAAACAAAUUAAACGGCCGAAUACGUAUUUUUUCGAAAAAUUCGAAAAAAAAGUGAUUUUUUGACUAAAAAAUACGGAUUCGCGUAUUAUAGGGCGAGCCGUAUUAUUCGGCCAAAAGAAACUGCUCACACCCGCGCAGCCCGUGCCUGCCCCCGCCGCUCGUGCCUGCCCGCGCUCCCGCGGGCUCCCGCACGCGCGCAUGGGCCGGCGUGCCCAAAACAGUGAAAUGCCAAAAAAAAAAAAAAAACUCUCCAAACACCUUGCCUAAGACCCAAAAAAAAAAAAUUUUCUUUUCAAAUUUUUACUUAAUUAAUUUAAUUUUAUAGCUAUUUAUUUUUAUAUUUUUUAAAAAAUAUGAAUAUUUAUACUAAUAGCAUAAAUUUUAAAAAAAAAAUAAUUUAAUAGCCGAAUUUUUUAUCCUGAAUUUUUAAUUGGUAAACGUAUAAUAUCCGUAUAAAUCACGUAUCCGAAUAAUUGAUGAAUCUAUUUUUUAGCCAUACUUUUCAACGAAUUUAAAAAUUAGAAAACGAAUUUUAUCCGAAUUAUAUCCGUACCAAAUUUUUACCGAAUCCGAAUUAACUAACUAUGAUCUGCAGACGCAGAGCACCCUGGAUUGGGACAGAAAUUAUUCGGAGAUUUGAAAUUCAAAAAAAUAAAAGUGUAUAUUUGAGCCCGUCGAACAUAUCGCUAUUUGGACGUUAGAUUUCACAUCUCGAGUAAAAAUCUAAUAUAUAUUUAAAAAUCACAAAAAAAUAAAAAAAUUAAAUAGUUUUUUAGAUAAAUUUUUAGUUUCAAAACUUAGUAUCAAAUUAAUUUUCAAACUCUUAAUUUUAAAAUUUUUAAAAUUCUUAAUUAUUUUAUGUUAGAUAUAUUUAUAUAAUUUUUAAUACUAAUCUUUUUUUUUUGAGAAAAAGAUAAUAUAUUAUCCCCUUCGUUCAUUUUUUUUUGAAAAUAAACUUACACAGAAUUAUGAAAUAAUUAGGUUCUAAACUUAGAACUUCAGUUACCAACCGCCAAGUCUUUUGUCAAUUACACUAGAGACCAGCGGUUAUUAGUGGAUUUACAUAAAAAUUAUUAUUAUAUCAAAAGUCUGCAUAAUUAUUUGUCAUUAAGUUUUGAAACUAAAAAUUUCAAAUUUCUUUCUAGUAAUUGUUUUAAUAUAUGUAAAAUUAUUUAAAUUAAUUGGUGCUGAGUGCUGAAAACUAAUUAAAUAAGGUGUCUCGAAAUAUGAGAUUAGUGCACACGGGAAGAUAAAUUUUACAUUCGUAAAUUCAUAAUUUUUUUUCUUCACCCCUUUUUGACUUUUAUUCCCUGUGGUGCUUUCUUUUUUUUUCUUUUUUGUUGAGAGAAAGAUAACAUAUUAAUUAUUUUGUUUAUUUUUUUAAAAUAAAUUUAAUUAAAAAUGUGAAGCAACUAUAAUUGAAAUUUUAAAUUUUGGAUAUCAAUUACUAAACCUUUUGCGCAGCAGCUGGGACGUUUUUAAGCCCUCGGAGCUAUAUUUAGGGAUGUCGAUGGGUAUAGAUACCAAAAAUUUUAUCCGAAUCGACCCAAAUGAAACGGAUAUAUCCGCUGGAUAUGAAUAUGAAUUCGAAUAUAGAUAUGAAAAAUAGAAACCCGACGAAUAUAUAUUCGGAUAUGGAUUUUGAUUGUGCCUGACCUAACCCGAACCCGAUCCCGAUCCCGAUCCGAGACCGAAUUUAUUUUGUAUUAUAUUAUAUAUAUAUAUAUAUAUAUAAAUUUGAUGUUAUAUUUGAAUUUAUAUUUCAAAAAUUUAGAUUUAAUAUAAUAUAUUUUAAAAUAUUGAAAAAAAAAUAAUUGUUUCGGGUUCAAAUUUUAGGGUUCGGGUUCAUGCUCGGGUUUCGAAUUUUUGGUCGGGUUCGAGUUUGGAUAUGAAUAUUUAAAAUCCGUCGGGUUUGAGUUCAGGUUCAGAUUUCGGGUUUGAAAUCGGGUUUGGAUUCGGAUUUUUAAAAAUCCACCCCGAAUCCGAUCCAUUGACAUCUCUAACUAUAUUAGCUGUUGGAGAUCGAUUGGGAAAAAUACACAGUAAUGAUCUUACUCCAAAGUGCAUCUUCUUUUCUUGUGCACGUGUUAUAUGAAAACGAAUAAAAUAUUAUUUAAAAAUAUUUGUAUUUAUAUAUGAUAUUAUUUAUAUUUGGAUAGAAAAUAUUAAAAUAGAAAUGAUUAUGAUUUUAAAAAAAUUAUAAUUAUUCAGAUAUUCAAAAAAUGAAUAUAGAUAUGAAUAACCAAAUAUUUUAAUAGUAUUAUAUUUUAUAGUAAUAAAUUAAAUUAUAAUAUUAUUUGAUUCCUAAUAUGUGUGUGGGAAAUAAAUAUUUAAGAAAAGCAAAGAGAAUUUGAAUUUGUUUAUGCAUAACUUAAUUCCUGUAUAAAUUAGAUUUAUAGAUCACUUGCACAGUUGCACUAGAUCAAAUAUCUUAUUUUGAGACAAACGUAGUACAUCAUCUGCUUCAUUUAUAAAAAAAAAAUACAUUAGGUUAUAACGAGUGAGGUAACUGUGCCUCGAGAUAAAGUGUGAAAUAAUAAUAAUAAAAAAAAAACUACAGUUGUUUUUUUUUUUUUGAGAAUAAGAUAGCAAGCUAUCUGCUUCAUUUAUUAAGCGAAAUGUACUAAGCGUACAAGUUGAAGACAGCUAGGGUCUGCUAAAAGGUCCGAACGGAUACAAGAAAGACCGACAAACAGAUACGAGAAAGGCCCAAAAAAAAAAAAAAAAGUUGAAGGGUCAAGGGAUCUCAGUUGUUGAAAUCAACAUGUUCAUAGCUAGACUGUGCGAUCAUUGGAGUCAGUUCAUCAGUACUCGCCCGCAGUACCCGGAUCUCAUCCCACAACCUCUCUAAACAUCGCAGCCUCUCUAAAUAUCGCAUAUGAAAUAGCAACCGACGAGAAUCAACUCUUUGGCCCUAAAAAUGUCUUUUGUUUUUCUCCAACCACGGGACCCAAUAAGUGGCAGCAAUAACGGAGAACCCCUUUUUCCACCGAGUGGCAGCAAUAAUGGAGAAACCCUUCUUCUUUGUUGUGCCCUCCUUCGAUCUAAACAGCUUCCAGAGCAGCUCCAACCACAGCUCCCGUCACAGGACCCACCAGAUCAAAUAUUACAGUUGCGUACACCAAUUUAAAAUUUGAAUAUACAUAUAUCAAACUUAAAUUUAAAUUUGGAUCUAUUAAUCCUUCUGAAAUCAAAGUUUAUUUCUCUUUCUACGGCUGCAACUAAAUGAGAAUCGAAAUGAAAUCCUUUCAAAUCAAAUAAAGAUAAUAGAAAUCAGUUGUUCUAAUUCCAGAUGAGCAUAAAUCUGACAUAUUUUCCAAUCCAGAGAUCAACAAUUUUACACUGGUCUGAUCACUUGAGCGUACAAGCAGAGUAUCCCCUGAGGCAAACUAAUUCCUAGGAUGGUAGUAAGGGAAGAUGGUGUAGAAGGUCUGCAGGAAGGUGAAAACAAGAACGAAAACUGCUGCGAUCAAGGAAAGGAUGGCCCACGGGUUGCCGAAAUAGUCCCUGACCAGCUUCGCCCUCCACUUGGGCCAAUCGGAAUCGCAGUACUUCCUCACGUCCCGGAACAACCCGGCGAGGUAGUGCUUCUCGAAAUCCAUGGCGGCGCAGUCGGAGAGCUGGUUGAAGAACACCGCCAGCUCCUUGUCGCUCGCCAGCUUGUUCUCCAGGAUCCCGCUCUGGUGGAGUAUCGCGACGUCUGCCGGCGUGUCGAUGAUGCAGUCCAUGAACGUCGCGUAGCUCGUCAUGUACGCCUCCUCCGGCUUGCACCCGCCGCACUGCUCGAAUGCCACGAGGUUCGUGAACCGCGAUAACGUCGAGUUCUCCACCGAGAGGAAUGGGAUCUCGAGCACGCCGUCGUGAAAUGCGACGUCCAGGAACGAACCGGGAUGAUGCUGAUCACUCUCGUUCCUUUUCCUCUUCUCGCCCUUCCUCUUAAACGUCACUCCGGCCUCCUCGAGCUCGGUCGCGGACGGGAUCGUAUUCGGCGAUCGUUUCUUAUCCGCCGGCGCCUGCGAUCGGGAAAUCUUUAUUCGGAGAUAAGAGAGGAGGGAGGCGAAGAUCUUAGUCGGGUUUAACCAUUUGAGAAUAGUACCGCAGAUGGUACUGCCCCUCGGGUCAGUUUGUGGUUUCGUGAUGUAGCAGCGGUAGUAGAGAUGCAACAGGUGGUGGAAAUCUUUGGCUUCGCCGUGCACCGAAACGGCGGCGGAGACGCGACUGGCGAGCAUCUCUUCCUCGGGCCUCUCGACGUUUCUGCUCGCGAGGUAGUUCACGAGAAGCUCCAUCAGGGAGGGUAUCUCCUCGUCGUCCAUGGUGAACGUGACGAGCUCGAACAGCUUCUCGAGCACGAAGAGGGGGAUCUGGUUCUCGAGCAGGAGCAGGUCGCCGCGCACGAGCGGCAAGCUCCAUCCGGCGGUGCAGACGCUGUCGUCGUCCCCCUGGCUCCACUUGAUGAUGAACUCGAGGACGAAGCACCCGUCGAGGAGCAGCAUCUCCACGAACGCAUCGGCGCUGAGGUCGACGGGCUCGAAGUAGCACCGCCGCGCCCGAGGCUCCAGCACCCUGAUCUCGGCUAUGUAGUGAUCGAUGCAGUUGUAGGGGUUGCGGGAGAGGAAGUCCUGCAGGUAGCGCCACUUGUGCUGUUCCAUGGCGCGGAGGACGGGGCCGUCGCCGCGGCCGUAGGGGCCGACGGAGACCAUCCGGGGUUCGUAGAGGUGCGUGUUGCGCUGCCGGACGUGCGCCGGGACGCGGAAGAUGGUGAAGCGCUCCAGCACCAUCGGGUCGCGGUCUAAGGCCUUGAUGUUCGACCUGACGGAGCUCAGCACGGCAUCCUCGAUGUCUACGGCGACCGCCUGUCCCUGAUCCUGUGCCAUCGCCGGCAGCUAUCCUGUGCAGUCAACGAUCGUCCUCGGUAUGUAACCUCCCUCCCUACAUUACCUGUUCCAGAUCCAGUCGGCCGGCACAGGGGGCAAUAAAUUAAGUCCUUCUAAAAAGAGUUGUUUUUCUUUCCCCUAAAAAGCUUGUAGGGGAAAUCGCACGAAAUUUAUUUGAACUGUUCCUUUUUAAAAUGUUACUAAUAUACUAUCUAAUUUUUAGUUUAUUUAAUUAUAAUUAAUUGAUAUUUUUUAAAAAAGAUAGGUUAAACUAUAUUUGUGAGGCAUCACAGUGCUAUGCAGUAUGGAGUCGAUAAUAUUCUGCAAAAUUUACUGCUUUUUUAGGUAGGCAAAGCUUAUUCCUUUUCCUGUCUUUCCGGACGUUUCCCCAUCUCUCCUCAACUUCACUCGGCCUUCGGCCCACUACGCACCGCUCGGAUGCCAAGUAUAGAUUAAUUAUUUAUUAUAAUAAAUUUAUUAUUACGAAAAUUAUAUAAAAUAUAUUAAAUAAAUUUAUAUACAUACAUAAUAUAUUUAAAUUUUGAAAGUUAAAAUAUCGUUCGCUGACUCAAAUCAAAUAAAAUUAAAAAUUGUGUGACAAAAUCAAACUCUUGAAAAAAUUGAUUAACUAAAUUAAAAUAGUUCAUAGACUAGAUAAGUUUUUAUAUUAAUUUUUUAAGUAAAGUAUACGAAAUUUAUCUGAACUAUAGAUUGUUUUGACUUGGUUUACUCAACCUUUUAAAAUUUUAAUUUUACUAUCUAAUAUUUCAAUUUGUUUGAUUUUGAGUCGGCUAACAGUAUUUUGAUUUCAAAUUUGAAUGUAUUAUUUAUUUUUAUAGGUUUAGUUAGUAUACUUUAUAUAAUUCUCAUAAUUAUAAAUUUAUUAAAUUAAAUAGUUAACUUAAAUUUUGAAGUUAAAAAAUCGUUGAUUGACUCAAAUUAAUGAAAUUAAAAGAUUAGAUAGUAAAAUUUAAAAUUUAAAAAUUUAGAUAGUCGAUUUAAAAUAAUGUAUAAUUUAGAUAAAUUUUGUAUUCUUUUAUCUUUUUUAUGCAUAUGUUUCAACUGAAAUAAAAGCAAGUAAAUGACUAGAGUGCCAUUGUCCAUUGAUUGUAAGAAGUGGGCCCUAGAUGGCUCAGUGUAGUUUCUGGUAAGACCUUAGAGUUGUAGGUUGGGUGAAUAGGAGCUCUCAAUAGGUCCUUUUGAAUGUGGUCGAUAAUCAUAAUACUUAAAAAAGUUGGAUUCCUUUCGGAAUUUCAAGUUCUCCAUCUGUUCGACUCUUAAAUGGUUCAAUUCUAAUGGUAGAGGAGACAUCUUUUUCUUUACUAUCGGUGGUUUCAUGACCAUUGAUUCAAGAAACUCGUGUUAACAGAUUUGAGUUGAAUUUUCCAUUUGGAAUGAAUGGGACUAUAUUGGAUUCACUUCUUUUAUUUUUUCCAAGAGGAAAUGGGUUUAGCCCCUAUUGGAUUCAUUUCACCAACAGAAAAGUUAUAAGAAACAUAUACCACUAGAAUUCCAAUCUCAAGUUAUCGGAUUCAUAAAUAAAAUCCACACAAAUCUGGUGAAAUCAAUCCUAAUCAUGAAGGUUCUAAAAAAAGAAAUCAAUGAUAAUUGAAUUGGAAUUAAUAAAUUGAAGGUACUCUAUGUAGAAAGUGUAAAUUAACACAGAGCAACCUAUAUUCAAGCUACAGAAACAUCAAAUUUAAAUACAAAAAAAAUGAAGGACCAAGAACGGGGUAGCUACGUAGACUAUAAUUUAUCAGUUUGUGCACUCAAGGUAAAGUAUGGACCCAUCUAUAAAAAAUUGUGUGAAAGAGAAUAGCUUUUUACAUAAGGCCAUGUUUGGUUCGACGUAAAAGUGGACCGAAAAAAAUUUUUCUCCGAAAAACAACUUAGUAGCGUGUUUGGUUGGAAGUAAAAAAUUUUUCUGGAAAAACUUAUUUUACAUAUGUUAGGAAAAACUUACUUUUCGUUUUCCGCAUAAGAGCCGCGGAAAACGAAAAGGCAGCGGCUAGCAAAACAGUAGUAGCCACAGAUACGAUUCUCAAUCAAAAAGGACAAAAUGUAAUAUGUGUUUAUGUAGCUAUCGGUCAAAAACCAUCUUCUGUGGCUCAGGUAGUGACUACUUUCCAGGAGCGAGGGGCCAUGGAAUACACUAUUGUUGUAGCUGAAACGGCGGAUUCACCUGCUACAUUACAAUACCUCGCCCCUUAUACGGGAGCAGCUUUGGCUGAAUAUUUUAUGUAACCGUCCCAAUGGUUUGGACUUGAGUAGCUGAAAAAAGAUAUACAACCUUGGCAAGAACGACGUUCAGCAAGAAUUAUGACUCAUGCUCCUUUAGGUUCUUUAAAUUCCGUGGUGGCGUAGCUACCGAGAUCAAUGCAGUCAAUUAUGUCUCUCCUAGAAGUUGGUUAGCUACCCACAUUUUGUUCUAGGAUUCUUCUUUUUGUGGGGCAUUUGUGGCAUGCGGAAGGGCCGCGCAGCUGCUGCAGGGUUUGAAAAAGGAAUCGAUCGUGAUUUGGAACCGCGCUCAUGGGAGGCAAAACAUUGCGCGUCCCCGAGGCCCUUUGGCCUUGUGGACUGUGCGAGAGGGAGGUCCACAGGGUUCAUGUGGACCUCUCUCUCAUUAUAUAUUAUAUAUAUAUAUAAUAUAUAUAUAUAUAAAUUUUAUUAUAAAUAAUAUUUUAUUAUAUAUAUAAUUUAUUUUUAUAAUAAAAAUAUUAUUAUAUAAUAUUUAUUUAUAAACUUGUAAUUAUUUAUUAUAUCUCUUAAAUAUAUAAUUAUGUAAAUGUUUAUUUAUAAUUUUAAAUAUAUUUAAUCUAUAAUAAAAAUUAUAUAAUAAUAUAUUAAGAUAAUAAUUAUUAUAUAUUAAUAAUAUAUAAAAUAAAAAAUAUUAAAUUAUUUUAUUUACUUUUUUUCCUUUCACAAAAAUCAAUCGUCAUGAAAACUAUUUUUCUUUUUUACAAACCAAACACAAACGACGUAAAACUUUUUCCCACCGAAAAUUUUUUUCCAUCGAAAAUUUGUUUUCCACAGUUUUACGUGGAACCAAACACACCCUAAUUAACAAAAGGAAAAUUCAAAAAAGAACCUAAUGCUCAGAUAAUCAAUUCAAAGUAGAAUAUCUAAGGACUUAACUUUGAAAUUAUUACAGUAGCAUUAAUUAUGACUUACAUCACAAGCUAAUAGGUAUUUUAACACAUACACAUUUAACACAAUACAUAUUUAAACUAAUGAGAAAUGACAUGUGAAAAAUACACAAUAGUAAUAUUCGCUCCAUCAGGGACGAGAUUGUUACCGAUCGUUCCUAGAGCAAUGGCAAAGGCUUGGUGGUUGGUACCCGAGACCCAAAUUCGAAUCCUACUUGAUUCACAUUUCCAGCUAAGUUUAUUUCUAAAUGAAAUAAACGAAGCGGGUAGCGUGCUACCUAUCUCUCUCAAAAAAAGGACGAGAUUAUUGCGAAAAUGUUUAGAUCUCAUGAGUAGGCCGAAUAGAUAGAUUACAACAUUGCUCUUUUCAAAACAAUUAUUCAUUGGAAACUACGAAUUUUUAUACUUCUGUAUUGGCAAACAGGAUUCCCAAUAAAUCAACAUAUGGGAUUGCUCUCGUUCGGUAGGGCCUCGCGUCGGGAUUUUGCUGUGUAAAAGGAGAAAGGUUUGAA